rnacentral:lncRNA from 1 species
GGAGGGUCAAAAUAUCUCUUCAAAGCUUAAUUGAUGCCAAUCACAUUAAUUGUGAUGCCCAAUAAGGAUUCUUUGAAGAGGUCACGCAUAAUGCAAAAAUAUGAGACUCUAAGAAAAGAAAAGGAAUAAAAUAAUUAUAUAAAUACAAAUAUACAUGACCUAAAGGAAUGCAUCAUGUCGGGUACGGGGAACUAAUGUUCGUGACUCAAUUUUCCCUUUAAUAGAGGGAAUACGAACAUGCUAAGGUUAGAGAGCCAAACUCGUCCAUAUCUCAUACUCAAGGGGUAAUUUCCCUAUCUAAUCAAGCAAACGUACUACCCUAAUUCUAAUUUUCCCUAUAUGAAAUGCAAAUCUAAUGUCAUGUCUCAUGCAUAGGAUUAUAUAAAGGAAAAUAUAAAAUAGGGGAUAUGGAUAUAAGAGGGAAUAUGGGAUAAGGGAUGUGUGUGUAAAGGGAAUAUGGGAAAAAUUACGUAUAUAUAAAGGGAAGUAUGGGAUAAAGGUUAUAUUAUAAAGGGAACAUGGAAAAAAAUUGAUAAAAGACCCUAGAAAAUGAAAAAUAUGAAAUGAAAUGAUUUUAUCAUACAAUCAUGAUCUAACGCUCGAAGGGCUCCUAAGGGUCUAGCGUUGGACUAGCCUAUAUUUCUACUUCCUCACUAGCGUUGGACUACUGAAAAAUCGAACAAGGAAACCACAACUAGCGUUGAACUAGUAUAGCAUCGGGAAAUGAAUCACUACUAGCGUUGGACUAGUGUGAUAUUACAUCAUACAUUAAUUAUAACUAAACCAAUAAUAUAAAGCAAGUAAACACAUAAUAUCACAUAAACAUAUAACACGUAAUCAUGAUAUCUAAAUGCGAGACCCUAAGAAAGCGGAUAACACGUAACACAUAAGCAUGCAAGACAUACUAGGCAAAUAAAGCAAACAAGCCCUAACUAUUAUAUUGGGAAGGGCCCUACUACAAUCUAAAAAGGGAAAUAAAAUAAAUAAUUAAAAGAAAUACCUACCUAUUACAAUUGUGGCAUUUAAUUGCCUUCCCAAAUAAUUACAAAUUAAAAUUAAAUAAAUAUUAAAAAAAUUGGAAUAAAUAAAGCAUAUAAAGAAAUGAAAUAAAACAUUCAAAAGGCAUGUAAUUAAACACAUAAUGUCACAUAAGUGCACAUAGGGUCAAGUAAAUUAGAAAUAAGGGAUAGAGUGUACCUCCCUUGAGUUGGGGCCUUAAUGACACGAAUUUACUAUUUACCCUCCAAAAUAACAAAAAGGGUCAAGGCACCACUUUAAUUAACAAUAAAUGAAAUAAAAACUAAACACGAAAUGAAAAUUUAAACACAAAAUGGAAUCACUUAAGGUAUUCACAUAAAAUAAACCAUUCAAGUAUUAAAGCAAACAAAGUCCUAAGUAGAAAGUUUUAAAAGUUAAAAAUGAAAUACUAAAAUUGAUGGCUUAAGAUGAGACUUAUCAAAAUCAAAUGCUAAAAUUCACGAAAAUAAAUCAAAAAUCACUUGUUGCAAUUAAACAACAAAAUACUCAAAAAUUUCACUAAAACCCAAAUCAAAAUCAUAAAUCCCUCAAAAAUUAUUAAACCUCAAAAUUUCAUUCUAAAAUCCACUAAGAAAUUUAUCCAAACGGUAUGUUAAAAUGUACUAAAGGAAAAUUGGAAUUCAAAAGGACAAGGUUGAUCAAAUUUCGAAUUAUUUUGGUCAUGAUAACAUCACUUUAAGACAACAGGGAGCAAAGUGCAAUUCUUGGAAGGUUUUCAUGCAACAUGCAUGCAAAUGCUACGAAGGAAACAAGUUUCUGCAACAAAAAACUUUCAACUACUCAUGAAGCUUUCGGCAAUGUUCUGCUGCAUAUCUGCAGCAUCAAACCACGCGAAUGAAUUGCCCAAAAAAUGCACAAAAACUCAUUUUUUAUCAACCUAACUCACACACACGUCUCCACUCAUCCAUCAACUGAGAAGAUCCAGGCCAGGAAAGCGAGGAAACACAAGAAAUGCAACAAAACACUUAGCAGCUUUUCGCACCGAGAGUCUCCAGAAAUAAUCCAAGUACAAACCGAAAGGACAUGAAAUCCAAGCCAAAUUUGUGCAGCUGAUGCCUUUUUUAUUUCGAAAACUAACGCCCAAGAUACACAAGACAGAAAAAAGGCAAGAGAAUCAUCAAAGAGCAAACAUGAUAAAGCUGUGGAACAAGCUCAGCAAACCAGCGGCCAAAAGGUUUGACAGUUCAUGCAUCUUCUUAGCAGGAACUUCCUUUUCUUUCGCUGGUUUCUUGAGCUACAAUUUCUGGGUUUUUGAAUGCAAUCAUUUCCAUCUAAACAUUGCUAACGACUCAACCAACAACAGCUUGGGCCAAAGUAACAAAUUCACCAAGCAUUCUCUCCACUUUGUGACCCCAAAAACUGAAAAUUUCAUAGAAGAAAAAACAGGCAUGCGAAAUCUGGAAAUUUCUGCAACUUUCAACCAUGGCAUUCUUCCAUUUCAUCACGCAAACAAGUCCAACGAAUAUCAAAAUUUUGGGUCAAAACAAACGAACGAUACAAGUCUCAAUCAUCAUCUAAACCAAAUACUAUGUUUUGUUGCAGGAUUAAAGCAGAAAACCUGGGUUGACCGACAGUAAAAGAAAGAGAAAAAAAUGCAGCAGUUUUAACAAGAAAUCCAAUCCCAAGUACUUGUCAAAUUCCUAAACCCAUCACCAAGAUGUGGUGCUAAACAUCUAAAAGGAAAAAUCUGAAUUGAGGGACUUGCAGGAACCCAGAUUCAUUCAUUGGUUUCAAGUUCUGGGUUUUCAUGUCAAAAUCAAACAAGCACCAAACUCUCAAGACAAAACAACAAUCAAACCCAAAUCUUGUACUUUGCCCGCCUUAGAAUUCGUCAGACCCAAAUUACACACACAAACGAGAACCAAAAUGCAACCUUUAGUUUAUUAACUAUACAUACUUCAUAUACACAAGAAGUGAGAUGAUUGCAUAUGCUGAUUACUAAACACAAGAGAUGUUCAUGACUUCUAAAUUGGAUUCACAGUUUCGGAUACUCGUUAAAUGGACAAAGAAGCCGACACCAAGCCUAUCAAUUAGCGCAACAACAUCACAAAGUAUAAUCACAGUCAUUGUCAACCACAGUCAUGAUCAUUCAUUCGAAAAAAAUGCAGCCUAGACGAAGCUUUUUCUGCUGCAAUUUUCUGAGUUCUUUCUUCCGCAACUUCAUCAUUCGACUGGGAUGUCUAUGCGAAAUAAAUCAAACCAAGCCCACUGAUUCAUUUAACCAAACCCAAAUGCUAUAAUCUCAAACCCACAUUGUUAACUUCACCCAAAAUACGAUUGCCCAUUCCCAGCAGAUUCAAUGGUGCAACUGAACAUGAAAGCGCAGCAAAGACAGAAAGAAAGAAUCUUGCGCUAGACAUGUACAUGGAAAACCAGUCAAACAACAAACAAAUCACGAAAUUCAAGCAACCCAAGAGCUCAAGCAACCCAAAAAGAAAAAUGACCCCUUCGACAUGGCUGUAACUCUGGAUAAACAAACAGAGGAGAUUUGGAUAUAAAAAAAACAAAAGAAACUGGUUCUGCCUUUUGAAAGCAAAGGACCGGACCUGGAGAUUAACAACUGUGUAGCCAUGACAUCAAGAUCUAACCUCUAACCAUGUCUAAUGCUCUUUUAAUAUAUCUUUUAGCCAUUAAUACACAGAUCUUUGAAUCAAAAGAGAUCAGGAAAAGGAGCUAACAGAUAAAAUAUGAGUUGGCUAGAUCAAGAUGCAUUUGUUACCUCCUGAGUCUUCUCUCUCGGCUUGUUCCAGAGUCUUCCUCCCCAAGCUCUCCUUUUUCUCAGCUUUUCCGUUUCUCAGCCCGUAGCUCUCUGUUUCCUUUCCCGCCGCCACUCUCAACUGCUCUCUUUCCUUCCCAAGUUCUUAUCAUGUUCCGCCCGUAACCUUUCUUGCUCUCCACAACUUUCUCUUCCUCCCUCGUUUCUUUCUUUUCCAGCUUGGCCGCUCUCUCUCUCCCGCUUAGGUUCUCUCUCAGAAACCCCCCCGUCACUUUUCCUUCCUUCGUUCUCUCUUUCUUCUCAGUUUCGUCCCUCAGCCACCACUCCUCUUACUUCUCCAAAAUUUUUUAGCCGUCACACACUAUCCCCUCUUCUAAAACCCUUAGUUUUCUAUUUAUACCAGAUUCAAACCCUUAAAACUUCAUCUCGAUGGUUCAUAAACAAUCUCAGCUCACCGCCUCUCUCUUAGCCCUUGAUUUUGUUUCAUUUCUAGAUUCUUCUUGGUUGUUAGAUGGAAGCCAAGUAGAAUGAGGUUAGCAUGAUCCAACGGUGAAGGAAAAUCAAUGGAAAAAAGGAUGGAAAAUGGGAAGGAACUGAGCGCUGCAUUUUCUGUACUUCUCGCAUGCUGCUGUUUGGAAAAUGUUUGUUUUGUUUGCAGCUCACGCGCCUCCUCUUUUUUUUUUUUUUAAUUAACAACAAUAAUAAGGAAACAACAAAUCGAAAUAAAACAAGAACAACAAAAGUCAAAUAAAAGCUAAAAAAGAAAUUUUUUGAAUUUAAUUGAUGAUUUUUCCUUUUAUUUUACUAAUCUUCACUUAAUUUAGAUAAACGAAUAAUAAACUUUUUCUUAAAUUGAGUCUAAAAGAAAUAAAACAUAUUUUUUGUCAACAAUUUUCUUCUUCUUUUUUUUUGAAUAAAUUUUAAUGCUAAAAUGUCUCAAAUAAAAAUUAAGAGACUCAUGAGCGAAAAUGAAUAAUAAUUAUCAUUUAAAAAAUAAAAAUAAAUAAAUAAAUAAAGCUAAAUUAAAAAUUUGGUAUCUAAAAUGCUAAAAUGUCUAAAACAAAAUCAUGAGAUUAAUAAGUAAAAAUAGCUAACAAUUAUCAAUAAAGAUAAAAAUAAAUUAAAAUAAAAUGAAAUAAAUUAAAAUUUGGUGUCUACACUAUGAGAUCUAAAUUAUUUUAAUUGUUUUUUCCAUUUAUUGAUAUUUAUAUGUUUUCUACUUUUAAUUGUUAUAGCUCUUGUGUAUGAUUGAUUAGUGCGUAAUAAUUAAUUAUUCACAUAGGCUAUUGUGCUAAUUAGGGGUAAUUGAAUCCGUAAUUGUUCGAUUAUCUCCAUCCCAGUAGCAACUGGCGUAAUUGGGUUUAUGUCAGGAAAACAUACUAUUUAACUUAAACAAACUCUCGUAGCAUGUUUGUUAGUUAGGAUUGGGCCUUUCUAAAUCUUAAUGCAAACCAGAAAUUAAAUCAUAUGGUCGUACCUAGGGUUGUUUCCGGGUUAGAGAAAUAGUUAACGGUCAUAUCUUAACUAUCGAGAAAUUAAGGAAGGGUUGGUUGUUUAUCGCGUGCAUGACAACUAUAACCAAUCUAUUAAUAAAUGUUGGAAUUAUCUGUGAAUCGAUGAUCAGUGCAUGAACCAUUUCUGAAGUGUACCCUUGACUAGAGUUCUCACAAUUAUUUCUUUUAAUUAAUUAUUUUCUGCAUUUACUUUAUUUAGUUAGCAUUUAAUCUUGAAAACCCCCAUUUGUCUUGACUCGGAAGGAAAUAAAUUUUUCUCCAGUCCCUGAGGAGACGACCCUGCUUGCCAUUGUCUACUAGUUAGUGAAUUUAGUCAGAUAAUUAAUUCAGGUAUAUCGGAUUAAACAAACUCUUCGAAAACAGGGUGAAUCAAGUAACCCAUUGCAUACCUAGAGUCCCUGCUCCAGUACUUAGAAUUGAUUAUUGACUGCUUUUGGUGGUAGUUAGGUUUUAUUUAUUAUUAUUGCACAGGUUGGGUACUUGUCAAUUUUUGGCGCCAUUGUCGGGGACUAGUGCCUAAUUAAUUUGUUUCUUUUUUAUUUCAUCUUGUUUUCAUUUUUUUUAUUUUUCUCUUAAUUUUUUUUAUAUAUAGUUUAUGGCUGCUAAUAUUCCGUAUUUUGGUGAUAGAUUGGAUUUUAUUUCUAGAAGGGGUUAUGAGACUCGUACUUUUUCUAAUGAUCAAUAGGCUGUUGCAAAUUGUGGAACUUAUUUUGCCUCAGAUCAUUCAACCGACAUAUGCCAUACAUUUCAAGAUGGUCUAAGUGCUCAAAUCGAUAUUUUUGGAGAUUUUCCACCUCAAUAUCAAACGUGGUAUGACCCUUAUUCAAACGAGUAUGAACAAGGAUGGUGGGAUGAUUCCAAUUUAAUUAUGAACAAAGGCCAAUAGAUUUUCAACAGCUAGAGUCUCAAGAACCGUCAUCCAUGUCAGGUAUGUCUCUUGAAGAAAUAGUUGAAUUAAUAGCUACUAACACAUAUCAACUUCAACAGGAGACACAUCAACUUCAAUAGGAGACACAUUAAUUUCAACAGGAGAUACAUCAAUUUCAACAGGAGACACAAAGGUUGAUUAAAGAGAUGGAAGAUGGAAGGCGUGAAUUGGCAUCUACAAUAAGCAAAUUGGUUUCUCCAUUUUAUGAAGAAUUACCCUCACAAACCAACAUCGAUUUUAAAGAAGAUGAGAAUAUAAUUAUCCUGACAAGUGACAUGAAAUUGCAAGAGUCUCAAGAAGAAGAAUCUAAAGAUAAAGUUGAAAAGGAAAUUAAAGUACAAGAAAUGGAACCCCAAUAUCAAAUGGUUCAAGCGAAUGAAUCCAAUGAACAAUCUCCAAAUGCGGUAACAUCUCCUCCAUUUCUUAAUCAAUACUUUCAUAACUCUUAUUCUUCAAUUCUUGUUAGUGAGAUUGACUUUAUUAUACCAGAAGAUUUUGAAUUUCAUGACAGGAAUAAGUUAAGAGUUGCGAUGGUAAAAUAUCUCGAACCAAUAAGUGCUCGUGAUGGAGGAGUGAGUGAAGAAUUAAGGUCAUUACUUGCUUGUUUGGUGCCAUCUACUAGUCCAUUGAAAACCGUACCUCGUGUGCUCAAUGAUUACUCUAUUUACGAGGGAUAUCAGGACUACAUAAAAGAUGAAGCACUGAAACGAGCUACACGAUUUUAUCCUCCGUGAACAAGCAUGGCAACGUCUAGCCAAAGACGUUAAACAAAGACGCUGCUUGGGAGGCAACCCAAGGCCUUUGUUUUAGUUUUCUUAUGUUUUUAGAGUUUUUGUUAAGUGUUUGUUGCAUUUAGUGAUUUAUUGCUUUUGUUGUAGGGAGCUGGCAGUUAGACGUGCCCACGCCAAGUGGUCACGUUUAAGGAAGGAGGUUUUAAUUUGGCGGACAGAAGACUACUUAGUAGUUAGAUGUGCCCACGGCAAGUGGUCACGCCUAAGGAAGGCAAUUUGCAUUUGCGGGCAGAAGACUCUCCGUUGCCGUUGCCGAAAUGUUAGGAAAAAAUGUGCUAAUAGUGAAAAAUAUGGAAGUGUUUGAAUGAAUUAUUAGUCCGCUGAUUCAUGAAUUUUAAUGUUGAGAUUUUGCUUAAUAGUUGAACCAUUUGCUUAUGGAUGCUGGUUGAAUAUUUUAUAUUCUUAGAUUAGUUUGUUAUAAAUUAAAAUAGUUCUUGAUCUUAAAAGCUAACUGGAGAGAUAUUUCUUGAAAAUUGCCACUAAUACUUGACAUAUGUUUUAAUUGCAUCUUGACAAUAGAAAAUUUGAGUAAUAGCCAUUGUUUGAAUUUGAUUGCUUAAUUUGUUAUUCUCAUGCUUGAGGACAAGCAUGGUUUAGGUAUGGAGGGAAUUGAUAGGGUAUAAUUUGUUAUUAAUUUUAUGGUUAAUUUUUCUCUUUGUCCUUGCCAAAUAUUGUUUUAAUUGUCGAAAUAUACUUAUAUUUGGUAUUUGGACCUAAUUACAGGUAAUGGAGCAGAAAAGUACUAAAAAGGAUGAUUUUCUUGAGAAAAUCCCGUGCACGUGGGAAGCCUUGAGAAUCCUUGCAAAUCCGGCUCCAAGAUGUGCUAAACCAACGUCUUUCCUUUCGUGACUAGUAGUUUACUAGCAUUAGGAAACAAGAAAGAAGGAAACUUCAGUAGUUGCCUUAUCUCUUUGUUUUCCUUAUUUGGUGGAAAAACCGACAAGAUGAGAGACUAGUCAUUGUUUAGAUUGAGGAGACUUGUUUUGGGGUCUUAGUAGUUUUCUUCUCCUAUUAGGUAUCUAUCAUGUGCGCCGCAAAGGCCAUAGAGGGGAACAUUUAAUUAUCCCUUUGGCUUGGUAGUUUGAGGAAUAAUUCUUAUUCCAUCGAGUUUUCUUCCUUCGAAUUUGGAGAAGAAUGCCAUCAACUAAUAUUUCUGAAUUUUCGCAUGGAUUGUUCUCCAUUGAUGGAGAACGAACUUCUUAUUUCUAAUCAAGGGGGCAACUAAUGAUUUGGUUCGGCAAUCACUGUGAGAUCUAAACCAUUUUUAAUUGUUUCCUUCAUUUAUUGGUAUUUAUAUGUUUCCUACUUUUAAUUGUUAUAGCUCUUGUGUAUGAUUGAUUAGUGCACAAUAAUUGAUUAUUCAUAUAGGCUAUUUUGCUAAUUAGGGAUAAUUGAAUCCGUAAUUGUUCAAUUACCUCCAUCUCAGUAGCAACUGGCGUAAUUGGGUUUAUGUCAGGGAAACAUACGAUCUAAUUUAAACAAACCCUCGUAACGUGUUUAUUAGUUAGGAGUGGGCCUUUCUAAUUAUUAAUGCAAUCUAGAAAUUAAAUCCUACGGUCGUACCUAGGGUUGCUUCUGGGUUAGAGAAAUAGUUAACGGUCGUACCUUAACUAUCAAGAAAUUAAGGAAAUGUUGGUUGUUUAUCGCGUGCAUGACAACUAUAACCAAUCUAUUAAUAAAUGUUGGAAUUAUCUGUGAAUCGAUGAUCAGUGCAUGAACCAUUUUUGAAGUGUACCCUUGGCUAGAGUUCUCACAAUUAUUUCUUUUAAUUAAUUAUUUUUUGCAUUUACUUUAUUUAGUUAGCAUUUAAUCUUGAAAACCCCCAUUUGUCUUGACUCGGAAGGAAAUAAAUUUUUCUCCAGUCUCUGAGGAGACGACCCUGCUUGCCACUGUCUACUAGUUAGUGAAUUUAGUCAGAUAAUUAAUUCAGAUAUAUCGGAUUAAACAAACCCUUCGGGAACAGGGUGAAUCAAGUAACCCAUUGCAUACCUAGAGUCCCUGAUCUAGUACCUAAAAUUGAUUAUUGACUACUUUUGGUGGUAGUUAGGUUUAUUUAUUUAUUAUUAUUGCACAAGUUUGGUACCUGUCAAUAUGCACAAAGAUAGACAAAAAUUGGAUAAAAUUCGACAAAGUCAAACAAAAAAUUCCAACAAAAAUGUCUACACUUACACUUUUUCAAUAUAAUACCACUAUACUACUCCCCCCCGUCCCCCCACCUAAAUCUUAUAUUGUCCCCAAUGUAAGUAAUAAAGAAUAAAAUACAAAGCAAAAAGGGACAACGAAACUUCCCUGAUCGUCAAAGGGGGGUCUCGAGCAGCUAUGACAUAGGUGAGAUUGGUAGUGUGAAGCCAACAUGGUGGAUAUUUACUGCACCCAAACCAAAAUAGGAGAUGCACAUAGAUAGUGAAAAUGGAGAUGAUCAUGGGAGGUGGCUAGCAGCGGCAACAUGGUGUGGUAGCAAUGGUGACGAGCAGAAACGGCGCGAGCAGCGGAGUUUGAGGUCCUAAGGUUGUGGUCCUGCGAUUGGAAAAGGAAAGAAAGGAAGAAAAAGGAAAGGGAGAGAAGAAGAAAAGAGAAAUAAAGAAGAAAGAAAGAGAAGAGAGAAAGAAAGAAAGAAAAAGAAAUGAAAUGAAAUUUUUUUUUGAACCACUACGUUAGAUGUGGGCACGCCUAGCUGCCCUUGAGUCUUCUAACCAACCCAUAGAAAUUAAGAUAUUUCCCCACACCUAAAUCAUGCUUGUCCUCAAGCAUGAGAACAGCAAAUCAAGCAAUCAAAUUCAAACAAUAGCUAUUAUUCAAAUAUUCUAUUGCCAAGAUACAAUUAAAACAUAUGUCAAGUAUUAGUGGUAAUUUUCAAGAAAUAUCUCUCUAGUUAGCUUUCAAGAUCAAGGACUCUUUCAAUUUAUGACUAACUAAUUUAAGGAUAUAAAAUAUUCAACCACCAUCCAUAAGUAAAUGGUUCGACUACUAAGCAAAAUUUCAACAUUAAAAUUCAUGAAUCAACGGAUUAACAAUUCAUCCAAACACUUCCACAUUUUUCACUAUUAACACAUUUUUUUCUAAAAUAUCCCCACACUUAAUUGAUUUUUUUUUUCAGGGGGACUGCUUAGUUUUUAGCCAUUCAAGCGUUUUGACGCGAACUCCGACAUUGGCCACAUGAAAGAGCCCGGUUACUCAGUCAUUAUCGUUUAAAAACCACAUACUCAUAGCUAUCAUCGUUUUUUGACGCGAAAGUCGACACUUAUGGUGAAGACCUCCUGUUACUAAGCAAGAAUACUAGCGGAGUAUAGCCGAAUACUAUUCAUAAAUAAGCACCAAAUUUAAAUUAAAAAUCGCACAAACCCGCUUCAUUUCUUAAAUAUGGAGAACUAAAAUUAAUAGUUGAACCAAUUUGCAUAAAAAAUGCUGGACAAAUAUUUACCAUACUUAGAGAAGUUAACCAAAAGGCGCAAAAGUUACAAAAUCUCAAAUAUUCACCAAAAUAGAUACCCUUAAAUUUAACCAUGUCAUACUUAACACCUUAGAGUGUAAAAUCUUAGCAAUAAAAAAUUUUGAGACAUCUAACCAUCGUUAAUCAGGAACAAUCACACAUAUGCACAAAGAUAGGCAAAAAUUGGAUAAAAUUCGACAAAGUCAAACAAAAAAUUCCAACAAAAAUGUCUACACUUACACUUUUUCAAUAAAAUACCACUAUACUAUGUCCCCUAUAAACUUUUUGAAAUCUAAUUAAACCCAUUUCGGAGAGAUAUCCAUCUAUCAAUCAAAAUUAAAAUGGGUACAAAUGACAAGUUUGGGAGAUGUAAUAUCUCCAUUUACCAAUGAUCUUCGUCUUUCCAUAUCUCACUCCCUAAAAUCUUCCUCAUUAUUCCUCAUCUUCUUCACCAAAAUCCCAAAAUAAGGAAAAAGAGGAGGCCUGGGGGUUUUGCAGGAAUGGUGUUGGUGAAUGGGUAGUGAAGACCAUAGGUUAAUAAAUCCAUAGUUAAUAAAUAUAAUGAAGAUUUCGACUAAUGUUUUUAUUGAGAUAUAUGUUAGAACAAGGCCUUAUUCAUUAGAAGAGUUAGACAGAGAGCAAAAGGGGACAAAAGUAGGCCUGUCAACGGGUCGGGUCUAGACCCGGAUCCGGACCGGAUCCGUGAAAUUUUUGCGAGUAUGGGUAGAGAUUUAAUUCCGUUUCCCGGAUCCGGAUCCGUUUUGUCAAACAAAAAAACGGGUCGGAUACGGAAUAUAGUAUUCCGACCCGUUUUAGACCCGGAUCCGGAUAUAAAUGAAUUAAUAAUUUUAAAUAUAUAUAUUUAUCAAUAUAAUUUGAUUAGGGUGAUGUAUUUUAAUAAAGUUAAUUUGAUUUCUUUUCUUAUUUGAUUUUUUCUUUGCAUUAGUUAGAAAUUAGUUUACAAAUGUAUUUUUUUUCUCAUUUUUAUUAGAAAUUAUAAAUUUUGGUAAAUUUGUUCGGGUAGACCCGGAUCCGGAUCCGGAUCCGGGACCCGCCGAAUCCGGAUCCGGAACAUAGAAUAAAAGACCCAUCUGGUAAACGGGUCGGAUCCGGAAGACAAAAGGCAGGACAAAGGAGCAAUUUAGCUUCUUAGACAGAGACUGAAUGGAACACAUAAGGAUUGGCUGUCCGAACAUCAGUCAGAAAUGAUCAAAAGAUCUUAGUCUUCUUUUUUUUCUUUUUUCCUUUCCUUUUUACGGACAGCACGGUAGCAGCCGGUCUUUUGAAAAAAAAAAAAUUGGCAUGAGGCUACCGUGCACCUGACACUUUUAAAAAUAAAUUAUUUGCUGCCUUACAGCAUAGUAGCAGGAGGCCUUUUCUAAAAAAAAAAUUCGCCUGCAGGCUAUAAUUUUGUACCAAGACAAUGGUAGAGUUACAUUUGGCGGAUAAUUUUUUUUUUUUUUUUACCUAUCCUAAGAAAUUAGCCACUUCAGUGUGAUGAUGAGGAAACGUGUGUGUGAAAUAAUGUCUCUUGUUCAAUGUGGCCAUGCAACCAUUCCUUUGGUUUACAUUUGCCACUUGCAAUUUUUAUUAUAAAUGACAGGGCGUCAGCCUGUGCAAUAAUAAAAAUAAAACCUAACUACCACUAAAAACAAUCAAUAAUUAAUCCUAGGUAUUGGAGCAGGGACUCUAGGUGUGCAUUGGGUUACUUGAUUCACCCUGUUCCCGAAGAGUUUGCUUAAUCCGAUAUACCAGAAUUAAUUAAUUGACGAAAUUUACUAAAUAGCAAACAGUGGUAAGCAGGGUCGUCUCCUCAGGGACUGGGGAUAAUUUGUUUCUUCUAGAGUUCAGUGCAUGGGGGAUUUUUAGAGAAUAUAAAAUAAUUGAUUAACUAACUAAUAAAACAACGAAUAGAAAUUAAUAGAAAUUAAUCAAUAACCAAUACGACUCUAACCAAAGGUACAACUUUUCAGACACGGUCCAUUCACUUGAUCAUCGAUGCAAAGAUAAUCCAAUUACUCAUUACUAGAUUGGUUAUAGUUGUCACACACGCGAUGAACAACCAGCCUUUCCUUAAUUUCUCGAUAGUUAAGGUACGCCCGUUAACUAUUUCCCUAACCAAGAAAUAACCCUAGGUACGGCCAUAGGAUUUAAUUACCCGAUUGCAUUAAUAAUUAGAAAAGCCCAACCCUAACCAACAAACACGCUACGAGGGUUUGUUUAAGUUAGAUCAUACGUUUCCCUAACAUGAAACCAAUCACGCUAGUCGCCACUGGUAUUAAUCAAUUGAACAAUUACGGAUUCAAUCAAUUAAUUUGGCAUUAGAUCAUUAGGUUAAUUCGAAUAUCGGGCCCUUGACAUUCAAAUAACAUAACAGACAUAAGCAAUUAAAUCAGGAAACGUACAAAUACCAAUGAAUAAAAGAAAUAAAUAAAAUUAAUUCGAUCUCACAGAUAUUUGGAACCGCGCCUUCAAAUUGGCCUUCAACUAGAUGAGAAGCUUAGCCACGCCUCAUGAGAAAAUCUCCAAGUAAUUUUACUAAGGUCCAGGCCAUCAAAGGAACUAAGAAAGAAAAAAACUAAACUAUGCUAAAAGCUAUUGAUCAGCACCCCUAGCCUCUGUACGAUUCUCCUUUUUAAAGCCGAAAGGAAGAUGACUAAUGCUUUCCUUUAUCCCAUGGUCCCCGCACGAAUUGAGAGUCCAAUUCCAUUUCACAAGCCUUUGUACGUUUCCUUUCCAAGAGCCCAAAUGAGCUUCUUAUCUCCGUGGUCCCAACGAGAUUCCCCUAUCAAAGUACGAAAAGGUAAGGCCUCUUAAUGUUUCCUCUUUUCUCGCUUCUCAUUGCUCCUAGGACUCCUAGGAUUCAAGACACUCCUCAUCAGCAAAAGAAAUGCAGUCCGUCUCUUCCUCUUCUUGUGGGCCAGGUCGAUGGAGCCUUCUUGAAGUCUCCCACUUAUGGAGCAAGUCCCUCUUUUUUUGUAGUUUCUUGCUCUAAUCCCUGAAAUUAAGUCCAAAUACCAAAUAUAAGUAAAUAUUACUAAUUAAAACAAUAUUUGGCAAGAACAAAGAGGAAAUUAAUAAUAAAAUUACUAAUAAUUAACACCCUAUCAAUAAAACAUGAAUAUUACUCUAGCUUUUGGAACCUGAAGCAAUUAUAAUAGAACGACUUUGGCCAAGAACACUGACAAUUGUAGUUGACACUCAGAAUUUUUUUUAAAAAAAACAAACAGCAUAUGAAUUUAUAAGGAAAUAGAAUAUGAUGCUUCAAGAGUUUGAUUGAGCAUUUAUUUGGGACCGUAGGCAUCCAAUGACUGAGUCGUCCAAUUGAAGAUCAAUAUGCUUGUACAGGGAAAUCUACUUGCAAAAAUUAAUGGGAAACUUUUGACCACGGAGUCUAUUUCAUUGUCCCUUGCAUUAUUGGAAGAUACAGCAUCACAACCAUUCCUUUUUCCAUUGACCAUUUGCCACUGUGAAGUCUUGGCCUGUUGGCUUAGGAUAAGAAUCCAAGACCUCCAAUGGUUGGUUAAAAGAAAUCCAUGAAAUAUUUAUUUCUCUUGUUAUAUUAGGAAUUGGUUAGUACAAAGAUUAUUCUUAUUUGAAAAGAUAUGAAGGGGACAGUUUUAUGACUCAUUACAUAAUUGAUCAAUGACCAAUAGUGAAAAAAUAUACAAAGAAAACAAAAAAUUGCCCUUUUCAUUAAUUGAUAAUCCACAAGAAUUUAGUAGCUUAAAGUGUCUUCGGUCUGUGGUAAUAUUUGUGGUAAUAUUUGGGUAUGAAAAGAUCCUCUCACAGCUACAUUUUUAUCCAAGUUCUUAAGUGGUGAUCCCAAGUUGCUAAAGGUGUUGAAAUUGGAUGGAGCUGAAUUGGACAACAUCCCAAAGCAUGUCUUCAAACUAUUUCAUCUCAAGUAUCUUAAUCUCAAGGGAACUAGAGUUAAAAUUAUUCCAAAAUCUAUUGGGAAGCUUCAAAACCUUGAACUUAUAAAUCUGACAAGAACCAAUGUAACAGAGUUGCCUGUGGAAAUUCUAAAGCUAAGAAAACUCCGUUCUCUUUUGAUAGGCGGAUUGGGAGAUUAUUCAAAUGAGUAUGCAAUUUGGGGCUGUAAAUGUCCACUUGGAAUUGGAAAGCUUAUUUGCUUGGAAAAUCUGACUAAUAUAGAAGCAGAUAGUGAUAAAAUAGUAAGGGAGAUUGGAAACCUCAUGCAGCUGCAGCGAUUAUGGAUCACAAAGCUGAGAAGAGAAAAUGGAAAAGAGUUGCUCUCGUCCCUCUUGAGGCUGACCAACCUUCAAGAAUUGGUCAUCUCCUGUAUUGAAGAAGAUGAGACCCUUGAUCUCCAACAUUCCAUCUCUCCAAAGCUUGAAUUCCUCACAUCUCUGAGAUUGAAGGGGCGUUUAGAGAGAGUACCGCAAUGGGUGACAUCACUUCAAUCCUUGAGAACCUUACGGUUGGACAAUAGUAGGUUGAGAGAAGAUGAGAAUGUAAUAGGCUCCCUCGGACAUUUGUCCAAUCUGAUAACACUUACUCUCCGUUGUGCUUAUGAAGGGGAGACAAUAUGUUUCAAGGUUGGAGGAUUUCAAAAACUCCAGCGCUUAGAGUUUGUGCAAUUAACAAGACUGAAAUGGGUGAGAGUGGAAGAGGAAUCAAUGCCUAGUCUGAGAAAUCUGCAAUUAAUUGGUUGUAAACUGAUGCAGGAGUUGCCUACGGGCAUCCAAAACUUGACCGGACUUCAAUUUCUUGGGUUCUUUGAUAUGUCUGAUGAGCUAAUGCACAAAGUACAGAUUUGGAUAAACAAAGUGCAGAUUAUCAGAUAAUUUCUCAUAUCCCCGAAGUUUGCACUGGUUACUGGAUUGAUGGUCGGUGGGAACCCAAGUUCCUCUAAGAGAAGAGACAACUCUUGCAGUUCUCAGCGCUAUCUGAUAUGCAGUUAACUCAUCUCUUCAAAGUACGAAGUCGCUUACUAGCUUUCCCUUCUGUUUCGUUGAGUUCCCGUUUGCUUUUUCCCUUCCACUGCUUGUCAUACUUGUAUCAAAUCAUAUCAUGAAAUAUCAAUUCCUCAAAAAUGUGUAUGUGUACAUAUAUAGAUUUAGAUAUUUACCAAAAAAAGAAAAAAAUAGAUUUAGAUUUUCUUUUCAAAGUUACUUCCAUCAAACAUAGAGCAGGUCUUUAUUCCAAGUCCUAUAUAAUGCGCUGUUGGAAUAGUUUACUUAUAAUAGUUAGGGAAGAGCCAGAGAAGAGUUUUUAGAGUUUUUUCCGUUGAAUUUAAUUCAGGUUCUGAAUCGUGAGUAUUAUAAUUGGGACUGUUUAUUCAUAAAUUUGCAUGUAGUUUUUUGGUACUUAGAGUUGGAUUUAUUUAGAGUAAAGUGUUAGUUUAAAGUAAAAAUCUCUAGUAUGAUGAUGAUGGAUUGUAUUACGCCUCAGUUGUACAGCUGAGCAAAGCCCUGUGGGGUUAAGUUCCCACAUCGCUUGGGGGGGUUUGGGGGGUUUAGUAGUUAAGUGCUGCGGAGCACUUCAAAAGUUGCCGGCUUUUGAAGUGUCUUCGCAGAGUCCAUUUAUCGAAACACUCAUACAAAAAACUGUGAGUUAUGAAAGGGAAAAACCUGUCUCGGGGAGUCUGGGGGGUCUUUAUCUCUUAGCAGCGGGGCACCCUGUGGGGUUCAGUUCCCACAUCGCUUGGGGGGGUUUGGGGGGUUUAGUAGUUAAGUGCUGCGGAGCACUUCAAAAGUUCCGGCUUUUGAAGUGUCUUCGCAGAGUCCAUUUAUCGAAACACUCAUACAAAAAACUGUGAGUUAUGAAAGGGUACAGCUGAGCAAAGGAGCAAAAAGAGGGAAAGAUACCGUGAAGGACGGGUGUAUGGAAAGGGGGUCCCACACCAUGUGACUGAUGUGUAGGCUUCUGUUUAUCUCGGCCGUUGGAUUGGAUGAAAACUGGGGUCUGCGUCACAUCCAAGGGUCCAACUGUAAAGUUUUUAAAGAAACGAGUAAUUGAUUGUUUUGUUGAUGAUGGAUGCUGGUGCUCUUUCUAAUUUCUAUAGCUUUUUCUUGCCGACACAUAAUGGUAGAUCUGGUUAUUUGAUCGGCUUCGGCUGUCAAUUUUCUUCAUUUUCAUUUUAGAAAUUUUCCUCUCCAAGAUUUGAAACCAAAACUUUUUGCCAGAAAGUCACUACUAGUAGUUAGUUUUGUUCUUGUCCUAAAUGUGGGAUGGUCUCUCAAGUUUUGAUAAGUCAAAAAGAGAGUAGUAAAUAAAUAAUAAAUCGAAACACUAUAUUCAUCUCCUACAUCAAACUAUUUAAGCACAAAAAAUUAAACCUCUAUUUUUAAGUUCAAUAUAUGAUUGGGAUUGAUACACAUACAUCUCGCAUAUCUUAUAAAUUACUUCUUUGUUUUUGGGUCAAUCCACAUUUUUGUUUCUUCUGUCUUUUGCAAGUGUGGUCCAAGUAGGGCGAGUCAAGUAGUACUAAUUUUUGUACUAUAUUAGCCAAUAAUGAAAAUCAUGUAACUGAGUUUAAAGAUCAUGAAAAAUCAUAUAAUUGAGUAACUUUAACCACUAAAUUUGGGUUAAAGAACUGGGGUAAGUAAAAGGGCGGCUUGCAGGGAUGGGAUAGGCUUAGCCUCUUAUAUUGGCCAAAGAUAACCGAUAGUCUUAUAACUCAUACGGUGACACAGAUGAUCGGCAAGUAGUGAUAUAGAUAAUCUAUGAUGAUCUACAAGUAGUGACAUAGAUGAUCUACGAGUACCAAGCAAAUAUUUAAGUAUUAAUCUGUCUAACGGGGGCUCAUAGUGUACUCGUUAAGUUAUGAUAAGAUACAUUUCAGGUGUUAUAUUUUUGAUAAUAUAAUAUUAAUUUGGAAAAACAAAUAAAUAUAAGGGGUAGUAGGCAAGAUUAAAUAGAAAAAUUAUAUAAAUAUAAAAGAGAAUAAUAAUUGUUAGUAUAUAUAUAUAUAUAUAUGGUAGUUUAGGUGGAUGCUACGUGUCGUUCGAAAAACCCUAAUAUAGGACUUGGAAUAAACGAAAUAGAGCAGGUCUUUAUUAAGAGGGCAGUCUUCAUUAAGUUAAUACUGAAGUGUACGAAGCAUAAUAGAUGGAGUUAAUGAAAUUAGUGAAGCUUCGAUAACACCUUUUCAAAGUCCAAACUUGAAGGUUCAGUUGCAUUUUUUUUCCCUUCUAAAUUCUGGUUGUAUGCAUAUUUUUCACAAAUGCUUGACUGUAGAAUAUAUAUGAUUUUAUUCUUCAGCAAGUUUCUCAAUUGUGGAUUUGCAAAUGAAACAAUUUUUCAAAAAAAAUAAGGGAUAUGUCAAUAGAAAACAUGCAAAAUAAUAUCAUAAAACUGUUUAAACUUAUUUACAACUUAUUCCUUUCUAAUGAAGUAAAAUUACAGUCACCUUACUCAAAGGAAAUUAUAAUACUUUUCUCUAUCACACAAAAAGUUGCAAUCAAGAAACAUAAUAAUAAAAUAAUAAUAAGACCACCGACUUGAAAAGAGAAAUAUAGAAAACAAAACAAAACAAAACCCAAAGGGAAAAAAGAAGGAAGAAAGUGAAGGGUUUCAGGUAGACGAUCAUGUUCUUGUAUCAAAUUUUGCCAUGAUUUAUCCAUUUUUUGUUGGCAAUUUAAAUGUAGUAUGAUGUGCUUGUUAUCAUAUGCCAAAUUCGUACACUUCAAGAUUGUAAGAAUUUGAUUGUCAUUCUCAUGACAAUCUCAAGAUUGUCUUUCCAUGCCAACUUUCUCCUCUGCCGCUGGUUUUAUUUAGCCUCAUAGCUAUAAAUUUUAGAGACAAUUAAUUGGAACAACACAAAAUGGAAUUCUAAAUUACCCAAGAAUGUAUUGUUGGAUUGUCUGUGAAAGAUACCUUUUUUUUUCCCAACUUAGUAAACCAAAAUUUCAUCUAUGUCAUUCAAAGCAUAAAUGGAUAUUUAUUCUUAUUUAGAAAAUGCACGCGCGCGCUCGAAACUUGUCUGAAUUAUGAUCAACUAAGAUUAGCUAUUUUGAUUUUAUGAAAUCAAAGUAUAAUGAAUAAAUAAUAACAUUACAAUUAAAAAAAAAGCAAAUUUCAUGGAAUUAAAAGAUGAUAAACCAAAAUUGAUGGAUUGACAUUGCCCGAACUAAGGUUUGAUUGAGUAAGGUGUCCUCAUGGCUUCUACUUUUUAAUCCUCCUAACAAUUAUUGCUACAUUUUAAUUGUCAUCGAGGAUUUUUCUUAGUUAUUUUAUGAAAUGUAAGGGAUAAAAAAAUUCAUUUUAUUAAAUGUGAAGGACUAUCAAUUAGAUUAUGUGAAAUAUGAUUUGACAAUUUUUUCCCUCAAACAUGAUCACGUGCAGGGCACGUGGUGAAUUCCGAAAAAAAAUUAGUUGGAAACCUAGGUAGGGACAAAAUUUAACUGAUAUGAAUUUAUAAAAGACGUAAAAUUACUUUUUUAGAAUGAGAGACGGAAAAAAUCAUUUUACAAAAAUGUGAGUAACGAUUUCAACGAUUUUCCGUAUCAAUUAUAUUAAUUGCAUUGCCCGGAUUCGUUGUACCCAAAUGCCUAUGAGUACAAGCUUCUACCAGUAUACGAUGAAUAUAUAAAAAGAAAAAUAAUGUUGUUCUUUUCAUUUUUUUCCUAGCACAUUGUAAUGUUUCCUAUAUAUAUAAAAAGGAGUUUGUAAGUGAUUGUUGAAAAAUUUUCAUCUGUUAUCUUUAGAGAUAAUUUAGGUAGGAAAAAAAUCAAAUACAAGUGAUUAAGCCAAACGUGCAACAUUAUAAUGUAUAGUUGAGUUGGGUUUGACUAUUGUGUCCUCCCAUUUACAAUUGGCUUAUAUUCCACGUGAUUAUCAAGCAUUUAAGUGGUGUUUAAACCACUUACAAAUGUAAUUGCAAUCCUCUCCAUCUUCUUUUAUAAUUGUUGGGUAACUUUUAUAACUACAAUAAUAGAGGGUCUUAAUGCUAAAGAUGGUUGGUUCAGGAAGCACUUAAUAAUCAACAUGAUUGAUUUUGGUUCAUAUUUUCAAUCCAUUACAAGUAUAAUUGUAGUGCUCUUCAACUUGAUAAUAAUUGAGGCUUUAAAUACUGAAGAAUGUUGCUUCAAGUGCAUGUGCUCAAUUUUUUGUUGCGGGUGUUUAGAUAGGUAUGCUCAUUUACUUUUUCUCUUUCUGGAGUUUUGGUUGUUUAGCUAAUAUAAUAAAAACUGUGAGUUUUCUACUGCAAUAUUUUCUCAAUAGCUAUUGUGUGAAUAUGGAAAUUUCUUUAUGGAAUACUUGAUACAUACAUAUGAAUAUCCAUAGGAAACUUUUUAUAUCUUUUAACUAUAUUUCCAAAAUCCGAUGUUCGUGGCUGUAGGUGGUUAAACUGUGACUAAAGAUUAUCUAUUGACUACAAUUUUAUGACCAAGGUAGGACCUAAAUUUAACCUUAUAGUUUAAGUAUGUUAAUUGUUGAUUGAAUAUGGCUAUGAUUAUGUUAUAAUGGUAUAGGGACAAGGAUAAUGAUAUUUUUGUUAUUGUUAUUAUGGUAUGGUGUGAUUAUCUACUACAAUCCUAUUUCUUUUACUUAUAAAUUUUUUUCCUUUAUAAGUUUGUUGAUUUGGCCAAUUUACUUAUAAUUUCAUGCACUUCAAUUGAUUCAAUUAAACUAAUUAGCAUGCAGUUCUAAUUAAAUCAAUUAUCGCAUAGGUCAAAACUCCUAUGCUUAGCGCGGCUUUCCCCCUAGUAGUACUAAGCAUAGUUAUUGAACCCGGCCAGCCCGGCGAUCGAACCGGUGAACCGGACAUUGCACCGGAUUUCGUAUAAAAAUUUUAUUCCUUUGCUGGAACUUGAACCAUUUUAUUCCUUUGCUGGAACUUAAACCUUGGACCUUUGGUCCUUGCAGCAAGGCGCACACCACCAAGCUACUUCACCAUUUGUUGAUUAAGUAGCUUACUCAUAAUAUAUAAACGUUUUGUCAACUUUAUCUUUUUUUUUAUUUCUCUAAAACAAAUUUAUUUGGAAUCUUUUAAUAAAAAUUUAUGACCCCCAAACUCUAUAAGUUAUAAAAUGGACUUAAAAAAUGACAUAUUACAUAAUUCAUUUUAAAGACAAAUAUUAUUUUUAAUAAUUUUUUGCACUUAAAAUUCAUAAAUAAGUUAGAUAAUUACACUAAACAUAGAUAAAAUUUUAUACUUGAAAUUUGGUAUAUUACUAAAUAACUUAAUAUUGUAUUGAUUCUUAUAUGAAUUAAUUAUUUUAUAGCAAAUUAAAUUAUAUGAGCAUUUGCUAUGACAUUAUUUCUUAUAAUUUAUAUCAUAUAUCUUAUAUCAAAAAUUAUAAAAUAUAAUAUUUAAAUAUAUUUAGUGAUCCACCGGUACAACCACUCACCCACUGGUUAAACUAGUAAUCCGUUGACCCACCUCGUUCGCCGAGUUCCCUCCUGGGUUGGGUUUAAUAACUAUGGUACUAAGUUUAUGCUCUUCUUUUUUUUUUGUCUUAACGGCACAUGUCUAACCUACUCCUACUCUUAUGGAGCGGGAGAGAGGGGAAUCUACUCUAUGGGAAGGCCCAACUGAGCCAGGGGAACCUGACGGGAACUGAACCACUAUUAGAUCAGACGGGUGCUGUGACGACCCCACUUCCCCCUAAGGCGAACCAAAGGGUUUGGCGGGCCGCCUGCCCAACUCUCGCCGGGACUCACGACAAAACUCAAGCAUGAAUAUAAUCGAUGGUUCUUAAAAGCUCAAACGGAGUAUAAUAUAUCCACCAGUCCAACAUACCAAAGUACAAGUCCAAUACUUCAUCUAAAUUUUCAUAAUAAUAACUUAAGUACAAUCCUUAUGUUUGUAAUUCAAAUCAUUCUUACAAAAGUAUAAUCCCCAAAAUAUCAUGAGACUUACAUUCACUUCAACCACAAGUACAUUAUACCAUAAAGUUCACAAAUCUUUCGAAAUAACCAUUACAUUCCACAAAGAAAAUUAAUCACAACCCAGAUAAAGGAUAAUCCACGGUACUCCAAAUCCUUGUGCUUGAGUAACUACCCUUCUCGAGCCUUGCAUAGAACUAAAAUGUUUUUGGGGGUGAGCUAAAGCUCAAUGAGGUUUCAAAAGGGAAAAUCAAAUAUUUAUAAACCAGUGCGUAAUUGCUACUUUGAAAUCAUGUGUAGAAGUAGUACUUUUGCUGGUAACUUUACUAUGAGUACAGCUCAUAAAUCAUUUAAAUCACUAACGUACAUUUGGAAUGCAUGACCAUAUAAAUAUAUUUUCAUGAAUUUUAGUCAAACAAAUAGUGGCUCGUCCGACUAGAAGAGCAUUACAAGGAUUGCUUUGUCUCAGAGAUUAAUGCUCAUGAGGAGUCUUACCCGAGAAAUGUCAACUAGGAGAGCAAUAAUAGUAUUAAUAGUAAAGCAAACACAAAAGGAUACAAUACUCGGUCCACUUCCUGCCCUUAUAACUCCCAUCAGUAACUCCUUCAGUUGACUGGCCAUCACCUUAUCCCUCCAGUGGUAAUACUCGAGUAUACCAAAAUACAGUGCCCAGGGUUAUCAACCUAUCCGACCGAGUCCGCUUCUGGCUCGAAUAGGUGAUAACGAAGGGAAAAGGCCUUGUUCAGCCAAUGUGAUAAAGUACACAUGGCCUACAGCAUACGCAAAUAAUAUAUAAACAAUGAAAUAUUGAACAGUUAAGCGAUAUAGCAAUAGUUAGGUCGAAAGCGAUAAAGUACACACUCGCCUAGAAAUAAGCACUUUUCAUUCAAGUGAACAAGAUUCAUCAAGUAUUUGACCACUUAGGCAUGAAAGAAGCACUUAUCAAGUCACAUCACGUAUAUAUAUAUAUAUAUAUGCAAUUAUACAAACAGUGGUUAUAAAAGUUCGAGAAGCAAUUUUGUGCAAAACAGUUUGGAAUCCCUCACCGUAAUCUGGAGCAAAGCAAGAGCAAAAGCAGGAAAUUAAAAGAGCUUUUCGGUGUCCUCUGAACCACCUGAGAUUAAUCACCAUCACAAAUUACCUAGAUGCUCGAUUAAGGCGAAUAAAAGAAAACCUCUUAGAAUUAAAACUAGUAAAAGUGAUAAAAUAUUUCGUAUGGUUUCUUUAAAGAUACUUUUCUUUCUAGAGGUGCAACUAGAACUAAUACACUUCAUAUAAAUUUUCUUGCCGAGCAAGUCUUCUACACUUUUCAUUUAAAAUUAUUAAAAUCUAGUGUUUUUAACAAUUUUUCUCUAAAACAACUAGCCAGGAAUAAUUUCACGAAAAACUUAAAGUUUGGAUAAAGUUAGUGUAAGCAAAGAAAAGAAUCAACAAGUUAGCAAGGGUUUAAAAGUCCUGUCAUUUAAGUUUUAAUAUUAACGUGCUAUUCUCAAUCUCUAUAACUUGAUAGUAAGAUAAAAUAAUUCCACAGAGCUUGAUUUAAAAGUACUCAAAUUCAACAGACCAAAACGGGUUUCACGAUUUCAAAUCAUUUGCACAUUGUAUUCCCGGUUGCCAAAAUAGCAAAAUCACAAUUCAAACAUCAAUUUCACUAGGGCUUCAUCAAUCAUUAGCCCUAGGUCUCAACAGAUUCAAUUCCAAAUAAAAUUCAACAAAGGAAGUUCAAGGUAUCAAAGCAAUUCCAGAUCACAACCCAUGGGUCUUCCACGUACAUUUCAGCCAACCACUUGAACAAAUUCACCAAAACUUAAACUCUUGCAAAAAUUACUCAAAUGGCCAAGAGCUUCAUCAAUCAUUAGCUCUUGGCAUCAAACAAAUAUUUCUUGCAACAAAUCAACUAGAAAUUUAACUCAAACAUGAAAGAAAAUCACGGUUAGCUUACUCACAAAUAACUCUAGAAUUUCAGAUUCCUUUUCUUGUUUCGAUAGUCAAGAAAAAUCCAGCAAUUGCCAAUUCAAGACACCCAUUAAAUCUCCAUCUUUUACUUGCUAGAACCCCUAAACAUAUAGCUUAUAAUCUGACCGACCUUACUAAAACAAGUAAUACACAAAACCAGAGAAUAAUCUCACCAAAAGUCCCAAUUAAUUCGGCCAGCAAUCUUGAACAAAAUCCAGCAAUAUAACAGUUUGAUUAUAGUGCUUUGCCCCUAAUUUCCUUCAAUUUUUACUUCAACUCAGCGUGCAAAAAGUGAUUAACAAGCUACAAGUAAAUCUUAAGCAUCCAAUAUGAAAAUCUCAGCUACACAUUCGAAGAAAAACUAACCAAAUGUUCAACCCUUUCUCUCGGCCGCAAAUUUCAGAUUCCUUUUCUUUUCCCCUUUUUUUUUCUAUCCACGACUCACAUCAGCUUCAUGCAUGAUUAAAAUAAUUAGCUAUCUAUCAUUUUUGAUCCAAACCAAGUGCGGACAACAUCAACAACUUAUCAUUCAACCAGAAAUUUAUUCAAUCCCACUCGGUUAGCUUGCAUGCAAGCAGAUUCAGUUUUCCUUCAAUUUUCUGAUUUACUCACAUCCAAAUAUUCUCAUGCAAGGCUUAAUCAUCCAGUGUUUGGUUAGCUAAACACACCACCAAGUGAGAAUCAAGCACUUUCCAGCGAAUUUUAUACCAAAAUAUCCAUACAACUCCCAAAAUAACUCCAUCGGCUAAGCUGGAAAAUUGGUUCAGCAGUCAACCAACUUCCAAUAAAAAUUUCCAGCCAUACAACUUAAUUUCCGGCCAUACAAUUCACAUGCAACACCAAAUAAUUAACUAUCUAUCAGUUUUUAACUAGCUAAACCCACAAUUAAACUCAGAUCAUCACAAAUUCACAGAUUAAAGCUGAAAUUUCCAGAUCAAGCUCUCGACAAUUCCAAUUCCUUCACAACCAGAUUUCUUGUAACUUAAUUUUGUCAUCCAACCGCACAAACCCCACAUGCAUGCAUACAAAUAGCUUCAUCAACCCAUACUCAACUAGUUUAAGUCUAGAAAUUACCUCAGCUUGGAGCUCAACACACACGACUAGUGGCUGAAAAUCUUCCUCUCCUCUCGGCCUUGCUCACGCACGCGAGAAUGGUUGGUCUGAGUUCAGUAGUUGCAGCUGUGGUGAUUGUGAUUGAAUCGAUCACGGCUGAUUGAGGGUGAGGAAUGAAAUAGCAGCUCUCGGUGGUGAUGGAGGAAAUAAUAAAGCUCACACGGUUAUCUCCUGCUCUCACGGACUCUCAGACAGCUCAAGGUCUGCAACUCGCACAGUUCUCUCUCUGGUUUUCUCUCGUCAAUGGUACCAAGGCAGGGAGUAAAGUGAAAUGGAAUGAUGUUGUGAAAUGUUGGAGUUGCUGAAAUGGAAAGCUAAGCCGCGUAUGAGGAAGGUGGAAUGUAUUUAUUGAGGUGUUGUGAGUGGAGUUGAGUCGGCAAUAGCAAUGGAAGGUGCUGGUUUGAGAAGUGGAAAAUGGUAGUUGUUGUAGUGGAGCUGAGUCGAUUUUAUAAUGGCGGAAAUGCUGAAAUGAAACAUGGAGCCGACAUGUUGAAAUUGUAUGCAAUUGAAGACUGUUCCAGAAGACUCCAUGACUGCAUGGUGGAUUCGAAAUGAAGGAAGGCUAUUUCGGUCUUUUAGCAACUUAUUCGGACUUCCAUUUAAGCUCUCAUUAAUAAACUAACUUCAAAAUUUCACCCUAAAUGAAAUUUGAUAGCUUACUAAUAUACUAGUCCCGAAAGAAAAUUAAACUAUCGAGAUUCACGCCCUAAGCAUAAUUAUAAAAAGUUUUGACUCAAAACGACUUCAUCUUAAUUCUAGUUUCCCCUUAACACCUAACGCUAAUAACACUUAAAAUUAGCUGUUGAAAUUCAAGGAAUUAAUAUUAAAGCAAUAAGAUACUCUACAUCAUGAAAUAUUAAUUUAACUUAGCAAGAUUCAAGUAACUUAAUAUUUUCACAAUUAACUUAUUUAUAUAUAAAAAAUUAUGGUCACAUACUUAUUUAAGAACCAACAAUAAUAAAAUUUAUUAAAAGUCAAAGAUGCAAAUGCGACAAGUAUAUAUAACAAUCAAAAGCACCAUAAAUAAUUCAACUCGAAUAAAUUUGGUCAUUAAAAUAAUAAUUGUUUAAAGAACCAAUUGUUUAGACUCAUUUUUGAGAAAUUCAUGCAAUUUGGGAAAACUUGACACUACAAGAAAAAAGGUCAUUAGUGACAACAUUUCUUUGUGACGACAAAAAGUUGUCACAAAUGAGGUUGUUUAGUCACGACUUUGAAGGUUGUCACAAUUGACUCAAAGCAACUGAGUUUUCAGUGACAACCUUUAAUUGUCGUCACAAAACUAUUUCGCGCCAUAGGCCUUGGAUGGCGCGAGAUUUGCGAUAGUGACGACUUGAUAAAUGUUGUCAGUAAUUCUACCGCUUUUUUGGACAACUUUUCAUUGUUGUCACUGUUUAUGUUUACUGACGACAAAUUUUUGUCAGUAAAACUAUAGCGUAGUUAGUGACAACAUAAGUAUUAUCACUAACUUGAACAUCUCUAAUGCAUUUAUUUAAUUGUGAGCCUCAAUAUUAAUUUAAUUUUUAUAAAAUUUGAUGAUUUAUUAACUAUGACUUUAUUUAAUUGUGAGCCUCAAUAUUAAUUUAAUUUUUUUUAAAAUUUGAUGAUUUAUUAAACUAGUCAUAGUUACUUAAAUAUUAAUUUAAUUUUUUAAAAAUUUGAUGAUUUAUUAAACUAGUCAUAGUUACUCAAUAGGUUUUUAACUGAAAAAAAUUAAUGAAAGUUUCUAGUUAGAACAACUAUAUAAACUAUUACAACUUGAGAAAGAAUAUAUUUACUAGUUCUUUGAAUUUAGCAAAAAUUUUUCAUCCAUUAUAAUUUUUUGAUAAAUAUGUUAAGAAGUAGUGAUUAGAAAUACAUUAGUAAAUUUAAUUAAAAUUUGAAGCUAAAAAUUCACUUGUAAUAUUAAUAUCGGAUCAACUGUUUGAUGUCAUAAAAAAUUAACUAUUUGAAGCAGAUCCAAGGUGCAUUUACCGCUUGUAAUAUUUCAACAUAAUUUUCUCAUCCAUUAUGAAUAUUUUUACAAAAAUAUUUAAAAGUAGCAAGUAAUAUUAUAUUAGUAAAAUAUUAAUUCAACUAAAAUGUUGGAAACUAAAAAACGUUGAUUGAAAUUUUGGUACUGAACAAGGGGGAAAUCUAAGGAAUUGAAAUUUCAUUCAAAGUCAAUAUUUUGAGGAGAGGCGCGGAAACACUUAGAACACUUAGAACGAAAUAGCCAACACUACCAGUAUCCUAAAGCCAACACUACCAGUAUCACCGAACAAAACACACACUAUCAGUAUCCUAAAGCCAACAGCUAACACUUAGAACCAACCGUAGCACACUACUCCUCGCCAUCUCCUCGCCGAAACAUCUCCUCGCCCGUCUCCUCGCCAUCUCCUAAUUGAUCUUGGCUCGGAAAUGAUCAAAUAGAAGACCACAUUUAGCAGCAACUCUCUACCAAAAAAGGUAUGCCGAUUCUCUUUUUCCUCCCUAAUUUUCCCCCAAAUGUUUUGCCCUAAUUUUUUUUUUUGCCAAAAAUUUCAGUCCAGUUUUUUGGGUUUCAUUUGAUUUAUGGAUGGAGUCAUCUCCUCCUUUUGGAUUCUACUUACUUGUGGGUUUUACCCUUGUUAAUUUUUUGUCAACAUUUUAUUUCGGGUAUGUAUGGGUUCAUAACAGCCUCCUAACAUACAGGCUGUGGCUACACAGAUUUAGCCCUUUCCUGAUCCCUUGAAUUCCUCAACAAUUGUGGCUACAUAGGUUGUGGCUAAUUGAGAUUGUAGACGAGUUUUUGUUUUGCAUUGCACACAGUAGAUUGAUAUAUAGCUAUCAUGCUAAUUGAGCUUGUAGACGAGGCUGUGUUUUGCAUUUUAAUUCCUAUUCGCAAGAGUAUAUUGAAACAAUAAAAGUUCUUGAUAUAUAGCUAUCAUGCUCUGUCCAUGGCAUGGGGCCUGAAGAAAAUUGAUAGAGAUGCUUUGAAUGUAUUUUGGACUUUCCUUCUUGUCCAGAUGGUAAAUAACAAUUUAUGGAUACUCGCACCAAGAAAAGGAAAAAGAAAGAAAAAAUGUCUUAUGUCUAGGACCCAUAAUAACUCAAUCACAGCAAAUGCUGGAUGAAGACUGUCCUUAUUGAGGAAAUAUUUCACUCGUUUUCUUCUUAUUUUUAUCUUGGAUUUGUGUAUCAAUUUGCUUUCAAAGCAAAUCCAGAUUAAAAAAAAUGGGAUGUUGACUUGUGGAAAAUGUGAACCAAUUAAUGUUGAAUAUUGAUUUGAGUCCCAUUUCGGAUGGUUUUGUUCCUAUCCAUUUAUUAUCAUCACUUUUUUUUUGGAAUAAAGCAAAGUGGUCAUAUUGUUGUGCUCACAUUAUAGUAUUAUACUUAACAAAUUUGAAAAUUAGAUAACCUUCAUUGAAGAUUUUAUAAAGUGGCUUUAUGGAAAAUUCUUAACAUUUAUAACUGCUAAAUGUUGUGGUGUCGUGAAGGCACCAAGUUACCACGUUACAACUGGUAAGUUUACUUAUGUAAGAUGUAAAUUCUGUUAAGAUAGUAGAUGAAUUUUCGAUAUCUUACCAUUAGUAUGGCGAGAUUUAGUACUUACAUACAUUUCAAAGGGUGCACAAUACAACUCUCACUGAAAAUUAAUCAAAACUGCUAAUCAUCUGACUGCAAAUUUUGGACCCAAAAGUAAAAUUGUAGACAACCUCAAACACGAGAGAAGAACAGAUAAGCAUGAAAACAUUAAGCGGGAACAAAAGAAAAAGAAAAAAAGAACUAGACAAACUACUAUCAAACUUUUGACUGGGGUAAAAACUUUAAUGGUGCCUUUUCCCUAAUUGGUCUUUCCAGGGCCUUAGAUAACAAUGGCCACUGAUUGCGCUAGUUUGUUAAUGUGAUCUUAGUGCUGUCCCCAAAAACCUCAACUGAGAUCUCACAAGGAGCUAAACUUGCCUAAUUAAAGUAAGGGUUAUUUAUUCAUUAGAUACUCAUUAAGAAAUAAUUCAAGUGUUAAAUUUUAGAAAAUUAAAGUUAAACAGAAAAAUGCAUAAAUAUAAAAGAAAAUAAUAAUUGCGAAUAUGUAUAUUCAGAUGAUAAAUAACAUGUGAUUAAAAUAUUUUAACUAGUGUUGAAUGAGAUAAGAACACCUUUUAAAAUAUUCUACCUAGACUUAAUUAAGAACUAAUAACUUUAGAGGGAUACCCUUUUUAAAAUUUUUAUACUGCUCCAGGUAAUGAUAGCCAUUGAUUGAACUAGUUGUUUGUUACUGUGAUCUCAGUGCCGUCCCAGGAAAUCUCCACUGAGAUCUAAUAAUUAAAUUUCUCCCCUGUCCUUUUCGUUUUGUUGUCUUCUUUAUGAACCAAAAGUUUGUUUCCUUUUUGACAAGAACGUCCAGGUGUAUUUGUGACAUGUUUGACAGUUAGUUUCCUUUUUGUAUUUAUGAACCAAAUGUGUAGUUGUGACAUGUUUGAAUUUACUAAUAGCUGUGUUGUAUUUUGUUUAAUUUUUAUUAUUGUUGUAUGGGAAGAUUAAUUUCCUGUAUUGAGCUUAAUUUCCUAUAUUUAUUAUAUGUGUUGUCUUUGUAGUAUCAUGGUUGCGUAUUUUUUUGUGUUAGGAUCAACAGUGCUUGUGAAAAAACAUGGAUAGGAGUUGGAUGACAAUUAAAGAUUACUUGCAUCCUAGAUAUUUGGCAGGAGUGAAAGAAUUCGUUGAAUUUGCUUAUUUAGGCAAGGAUCCCACAUAUAAGCUCCCUUGUCCAUGUAAAGGGUGCAACAACUUUGAGGAUCAAACUAUGGAGGUCAUGAAAAGUCAUUUGUGUGGGGGAAUUGUUGAGAGCUAUACUAGGUGGGUAUAUCAUGGUGAAAGGUUUGAAGAUUCUGAUGAGGAUGAAAAUGAUAACAUAGUUUUAGAUGAAGAAAACAGUGAGUCAGAUGAUAUUCAAGAAAUGUUAAAUGACGUUGGUACUGCAAACUUUGGCGAGAAUUGGAGAAAUUCGGGGGAACAUAAUAGGGAUAUACCAAAUAAGCAAGAGGGGGAAGCAAGUAAGUUUCUUAGAUUAUUAUCUGAAGCUGAAAAAAGUCUCUACCCGGGUUGUGAUAAGUACUCAAAACUUUCCUUUGUUGUCCAUAUCCUUCAUUUGAAAACUAUGAAUUGGUGGACUUGCAAAUCCAUCGAUAUGCUGCUGAAAUUCCUCAUUCAAGUCUUCCCCAUGGCAUCAAUUCCUAGCUCAUACUAUGAUGCAAAAAAUUUAAUUCGUGAGCUAGGACUCAAGUGUGAAAAAAUACAUGCAUGUGAAAAUGAUUGUGCACUUUAUUGGAAAGAAAAUGAAAGCCUCGAUCACUGCCCAAAUGAAAAAUGUAAAGCACCUCGUUAUAAAUCCCCGGGUUCUAAAAUUCCUAGAAAAGUGCUUCGCUAUUUCCCCUUAAAAUCAAGGUUACAAAGACUAUUCAUAAACAAGGAGAUAGCUCAAGAUAUGAGGUGGCAUAAAGAGAGACGCGUUCCCAAGGAAAACACAAUGACACACCCUGCUGACUCAAUAGCUUGGAAGGAGUUUGAUAACAGUCACCCAUCUUUUGCCGAAGAUCCUCGUAAUGUUAGGUUGGGGCUUUCAACUGAUGGUUUCAAUCCCUAUGGAAACAUGAAUAAUGCAUAUAGUAUAUGGCCUGUAAUCCUCGUUCCUUACAAUCUACCACCUUGGAAAUGCUUAAAGGACCCUUUUUUCCUGUUAUCAAUGAUUAUUCCAGGUCCUAAGUGCAUAGGAAAUUAUAUGGAUAUAUUUUUUAGGCCUCUAAUUGAUGAGUCGAAAGAGUUUUUUGACACUGGCUUUGAGACUUAUGAUGCAGCUAUGGGAGAAAAAUUUAUGUUACGGGCUGCUCUAUUGUGGACUAUAAGUGAUUUUCCAGCAUAUGCCUAUUUGUCAGGGUGGAGUACAAAAGGUUAUAAGGCCUGUCCUAUUUGUUUAGAUGAUACAACCAGUGUAUAUCUGAGAAAUGGAUUAAAAUGUUGCUAUAUGGGGCACCAGCGAUUUUUGCCAGCGGACCAUAAAUGACGCAGAGAAAGAAAGUCAUUUGAUGGCAAGAGUGAUCUUAGACAGCCUGUUAGAACUUUAUCCGGUGAAGAAAUCUUUGAACAACUUCAAGAGUUUGAUCAAAUGGUGUUUGGUAAGGCACCUGAAUUGCUUAAAGAGAAGAAAAGAAAACGCAUGCAAAAUCAGUCAAAUUGGUUGAAGAAAAGCAUUUUUUUUGAGCUUCCAUAUUGGAGUACUAACAAAAUUAGACACAACUUGGACAUUAUGCAUAUCGUGAAGAAUGUGUGUAAAAUUUUGUUGGCUACAGUGAUGGGUACGGGACACAAAAAUAGGGACACUUGGCAAGCUAGAGAGGAUUUGAAGGAAAUGAGAUUGAGGGGAGAAUUGCAUCUUCAAACUCAAGGGGAUUCAAAGGUGAUGCCCGCUGCAUGCUACACUCUUUCACGCAGCGAAAAACAAAAACUAUGCCAGUUUUUGAGCUCACUCAAGUUCCCCGAUGGAUUUGUCUCAAACAUAUCUCAUUGUGUUAAGCCAAAAGAGUGCCAAAUUUCAGGGAUGAAGAGUCAUGAUUAUCAUGUAUUCUUGCAACGUCUACUUCCAUUAGCAAUUAGAGGCAUGCUGCCAAAGGAUGUUUCCCAAACUUUGGUAGAACUAAGCAAUUUUUUUAGGAAAAUUUGUUCCAGGACUCUUUAUGUAGAUGAGUUAGAUGCACAGGAGAAAAACAUUGUUGUAAUACUCUGCAAACUUGAAAAAAUUUUCCCUCCAAAUUUCUUCGAUGUAAUGGUCCAUUUACCUGCUGAAGCAAAACUUGUUGGCCCAGCACAAUACCGGUGGAUGUUCCCAUUUGAGAGGUAGUGUAAAGGCUAUUUUAAGACUGAAUCUUCUUUUGCUUCAUAGGGUCGUACUGCUGUGACAUCUUAUGGCUGCAUUUUUGUGACACAGAAAAAUGGGUCAAUACAAAGGUUAUGUGCACAACAGAGCUCGACCGGAAGGAUGCAUUGUUGAGCGUUACUUGGAUGAUGAAUGUCUAACAUUCAUUUCUAGGUACUUGCACAAUGUUCCUACAAUAUUUAAUGAACCAGAAAGAAACACCGAACGCUUUGAGGCUGCUGGAAAGUUGUCUAUUUUUUCUGGAAUGGCUCGGCCUUUUGGGGCAGCAACAUUUUGUUGCUUAAGUGAAUCAGAGUUGAUGAAAAUACAUUUAUUCAUCUUGAAAAAUUGUGAAGAAAUUGAUGAUUACAUAAGGUAAUAAAUUUAUUACCUUAUGUAUAUGAGAAGUGUUAUAUGUUUAGUCAAUUAUAGCACUAACCGUAGCACAUAGAUAACUAAUAAUACUAUUGUAUAGGAUGCACAAAGAAUUGCUUCAGCAGCAAAAUGUGUCGAAUGUAGAGUAGAUGCACGAUUUAGAGUUUCCAAAGUGGUUUGAAGAUCGUGUAAGUAUGGAACAAACUACUAGAAAACUUGUGGUAUUUAUAUAGUUGUUAAUUUGUUCAGUCAUUCUAAUUUCUUAUUUGGGUUAUAUAGGUCACUUACAUGCAUACACAAGGCAGAUGCUGUGAUGAAUUGUUGUCUUUGGCCAAAGGACUGGAUUUUAGAGUGAUCAAAUAUCCUGGUUGUAAUGUCAAUGGGUUUAGAUUUCAUACCAAAACACGUGAGGUAGACAGAAAAACCCAGAAUAGUGGCAUUAUGGUGAAGGGUGAGCAUGCUGAUGUAGAAAUAAACUUCUAUGGUGCUAUUACAGAUAUCUUAGAGGUUGAAUACUCCUUCAGUCAAAGCCGAGUAGUUCUGUUCAAGUGUGAUUGGUGGGACUUGAAAAAUAGCUCAUGUCUUAAAAUAGACAAACAGAGUAAUCUAAGCAGCGUCAAUUUGUCAAAAAAAUGGUAUAUAGACCAGCCAUUUGUAUUCGCUUCCCAAGCCGAACAGGUCUUUUACGUAAAGGAUAUGAGGCUUGGAGGUGAUUGGCAUGUUGUCGAGUCAGUCUGUCCACGUUCAUCAUAUGCUAUUCUUGAAAAGGAUGAGGAUAAAUCAUGUGAAGAAGAAGAGGUUUACCAAGAAGAUUAUCUUGAAGACCUAAUUGGGGUUCAAGAGAAUGUCGAUUUGUCUAACUUGAAAAGAGGUGAUAUGCUAGCUGAUGAAGCUGUAGAAACUGGCAUCCUAAAUUCUGAUUCUUCAGCUAAACAUGCCAGGAAAAUGGAUGAUUUUUUUGUUGAUGAUGAUGAGAUUCAGCAAUUGAGCUCGAGUGAAGAUGAAAGUGGAAAAUUUGUAGAAAGUGAUGACUAUGAGUCUGACUAAACGAUGUUGUAAAUAACAUUUUCAGUUUCUAUUUAUAGUUACCAUGUAACUUUUGGUUCAAAUCAAGUGUAUUUCUUAUCUUGAAUUACUUUUAGUCACUCUUAUCUUCUAAUUUGCAAUAUCUAUUGUAAAAUACAAGGCAUAUUAAUUAAGUUCCUCCUUCGGGUGAGCAUGCUGGUAAUUGUACCUUGUCCUGGCUUUUUAGACAUAUUUAGUCUAAAUGCAUGGCUGAUUGAUAUCUUUUUAUCAUGUAGUUACAUGGAUGGGCCAGGGAAGAAAGGAAAAUGUCCUAUGCGACCAACUCGAGGUGCUGAAAUACCUAAUGCAGCAGAAGCUAGAGAAAAAAUAGGUGAACAGGUGAUGAAAAUUGACUUUGCUAUGUACUUGUACCUUCACUUCUUUAUACCAUUGGUUUUAAACAAUUAAGCAUCUGCCCUGCUGUGUAUUUCUUACUUCACUAUAGCAAGUUGGUGGCCCAAAAGGUAGUCUGGCUAGCAAUGCCAAUAAUGGUGCUGAAUUCAGCCUAUCUAGAAAGUCAGUUCAAAUUCGCCUAUUUGAUGAGACUGAGGUUAGUUCUUACUUUUGGUAGUUGGCAAUAUUUGAAAAAUACAUUUCUAAUGUGUAGUUGGCUGGAUUUUAGGAUCCUACUACCUCAAAUGGUCGCAAAACUACUACAGGAUCAUCAAGACAUGAGUUGACAACUCCUACAUCUAUUGAGCAGCAAAAUACUACUCCUACUUCAGUACAAGUCGGAUCUAACCAGUCCAUUGGUUGUGGAAGUGACCGGAAUAAUGAGAGCGAUGAUGUUCAACAGAAUGAUACCGGUAUAUGAGAUUUACUUGUAAUUUAUAUUACACAGCUAAUUUCAUUUCAGAUUUUUCCACUCACAUUCAUAACUGUGUACUAUGUUUUGGGUAGGUGGUAUCAAUGUAACUAGGAAAAGAGGAUAUACUCGCAAUAUUGCACUGUCCAAGGAAAAAAGGCCGGCAAAAAGGUAAAAGUCCAGGUCUCUGAAGUUAGUGGAAGAGUAAUUGGAGAAGGGGCACAACAGUACAUCUCAGAGGCAAGUUGUGUCAUUCGUAAAUAUGGCAAAUGGAAAGCAGAAAAAUGGUCCAAACUCCAAGAAUCUGAUAGAGAAGGAAUGCUAAAACUUGUUAAUGUAAGUGAAAUUGUUUUGAAGGCUUGUUUUUCUUCUUGACUUGGUAACAACUAGUUCUGCAACAGGUCAUUUAUGCACUUUUUCUGACAUUUACAAUAAAUUUUUCACUCAUAUUUCAGAAUAGUUUUGCUUAUGAUGAAGGAGAACAUGUUAAGCCAGCACUUCUUAAGCAGUUAAAUACACAGUACAGAAGUCGACGAUACAAUUUUCACAAGAUUUUCAAGAAAUUUAGUACAAAAGAGGAAGCACUUGCAAAUCGUCCACAAUAUGUUGAAGAAUCUGAUUGGAUUUACCUUUGUGACUAUUUCUGUAGUCUAAAUUUUAUGGUAUAGAGGCCGACUUUUGAUCAUUUACUAUUGUUCUUUCUCAUGUUUUUUGUGUGUUAAAUUUUGAUCAUGGCUGAACUUGAUAAGUGCAGAAGAUAAGUGAGAGGAACAAGAUCAAUAGAUCAAAGCAAAAAACUGCUCAUACAGCUGGAACAAAAUCCUUUCUUCGUCAUAAAGCUGACCGGGUAUUUGAUUAUCUUGAAGACAUGUCUUUUGGAUUGUUUAGGCAGGUUAUUUAACUUCUUAUUGUAACAGGAAGCAUAAGAAGGGAGGGAAGUUGGACCAAUAGAACUUUAUGACAUCACCCAUUACAGCAAGAAGAAGAAUGCAAUGGUUGACGAAACAUCUGCUAUGAACUUAGUAAGAAAAAUGGAAUUGCUACUCUAAUAUUGUUGUACAACUCUUAUGAAAGUCUAACUUCAGAAUUUACCUUUGUGACAGAGCAUGAUGAGGGAGAAAAAGUUGGAAUCUAAAUCCAGUGGUGCAAAUAGGACUGAAGAAGACAUUUCCAUUGAAGUAACUGGACGUGUAACCGGAUACGUACAUGGCCGUGGUCCCUCCAAAGCUGGAAUAAUUGCCCAAAAGCUUGCAGAGAUAGAUGAUUUCAAGAAAAGAGCAGAACAAGCGGAGAAGCGCUCAGUUGAGCUGGAAAUAACAGUCCAAUCUCAACAACAACUUAUGGAGAAGCUUGUGAACCAGCAAAGUGAAAUGCAGAACCAACAAAGUGAAAUGCAAGAUCUCCUUAAAUCUUUGAAAGCACAGCUGCAAGCCAACAAGUAAGAUGAUGAAGGCACAUCUGAACGAACUGAUUGGUAAGCAAUUUUCAACUAUAUAUACUUGUCUAAAUAGAUAUAAUGGCUGCUAUGGUUUAAAGUUAACAUAAGUUAUUGCAAAUUAGUUAUUGGUAGGUGACAAUAUUAACUUGUAAUAUCAAGACUGAGGAGGGACAUUUAAGAAUUACUUCUGUCAACUCAAGGUUCUAAUCAGCUGGUGUUUUGAUCCUGGGAGUACAUUUGUGGCUUUAUCAUAGCUUUGUUAUCAUGAAACAAUAACAUUACACAAAAAAAAGCUUCAAUAGUGUUUCUGUUUCAUGAUAUUAAUUUGAGGAGCACAGAAGGGCUAAAGAAUAGAAAAGAUUAUUAUUGUCAUUUGGCCAAUGAGUUAGCUAAAAACUUAAAAUAUUGUCAUGUUUAAGACGUUUUAUGGUCAAGAUACAGAAACGCUUGCAUCUUGCAGGUUUCAAAGGUUCAUGGCAAUUCUGGACCUGUCUCUCCCUUUCAUUCUUGUGGGUGCCACUUAUUAUUCUCAGUGUUUUGAACACAAACUAGUGUAGUGUCUAUGUCACUACUGGUCGUUGUGGACAGAGUAGGAAGAUUUGAUAUCUUCUUACUAAUUUAGGUUAGGAAUGAACAGCAAAAACAAAAUACUGAUUUAGCUUUUUGAAUACUUGCUAAACAUUAAUGUCAUGCAAUUUCUAGUUAAGCCUAAUGAUUUGCUAUGUGGUGUCCUGAUUCUAGUUUUUCUGUUUUGCAAUGACAUUUAGGCUUUAAAGCUCAGACGGAAACUUUGGCGCUCCUAAUUACCGCCUUUACUCUGGAAAAUCCUUUCUUUCCUGGUUGAAUUUUAUCAUGGCACUGUCUUCUUCAUUCCCUUUGUCUCUGCUGACCAAAGCUUCUGAUUUCUUGUUAGAAAUAUGGUGCAGAGAAUUUGCUGUUCUGUCUCAGACCCUUCGUUUCUGAAAUUAGCUCCUACUUAGUUGCCAAAAACUGUUGUUCUGAUGAUAUGUAAAGUUGCAGAUGGAAAUGGUAAAGUAAUUCAAGUAAAGAACUAAUUACUAGUAAAUUAGCAAACAUGAACCUGAAGAGGACCUAAUUGUAGCGUUGACAGAAUAACCAUCUUCAAGAAGCCUUUUGAUCAACCAUAAUGCCAAAAAGUCCAGUUCCACCUGUUACACAUACUCUCCCCUUCUCCAUCUUCUCCCCUUCCAUUAAUUUGUGUCCGUCUAGCCUUUAAUACCAGUAUAGUACUGUUUGGUCUCUCUGCAGUGGAUUGUCAGUUUCAACUUGAAGAAUUAAUGUAUUUCUAGUAUAGUAUUUCACUUGAAGAAUACCAGUAUAGUACAUGCGAAAUGUAUUUCCUUCAAGUAGUUAAAGGGAAUCUUCCUUGUUAGUUAGACUGUUGUGCUGAGUCAACAAUCAAGUAGUUAUUUUGUUAUUCUUGAGCUGUAUAAGAAUGCAGAAAUCUGGAUUGGGCAAUAUGGAAAAAUCAUUUUGAAUAAUAUCUCUCUUUCUUCUUCCUCAAGUCUAGUUUCUCUCCCCCUUAUCACUCUAUUUCUGCUGCAAUUGCUGCAUUCAUUACGGUAGUAUCAGAUUAGUGAAUGCUUGUUACUUUUGUUGUUUAUUUAGCAAUUAGAGACUGUUUUGCUUUUGUCACCUGAUAACUUUACUAAUAACUUUACUACUUUAUUGCAGAUAUAUUGCUCAUUUUGGAGGUUUCGAAGAAGAUUAGCAGUACGGCUUACAUGUCGGCUCAAAAACUGUGGUUAUAGUACUGUCUUAAGUUUAGAAAAUGUUUCAGAAGCGCAGGAAAUGUUUUGGGACUUGGAAUAUGUUUUUUAGUGCAGCCUUGACUUAUAUGAGUAGUAUUUGUUCUACUCAAACUUAUGAAACUAUUUGUACUAUGAUGUUGCACUUAUUUAUGACAUUUGAAUAUUUAAUAUAUUAUUUUGGCAUAUUCUAUUGUAAUGGGUGCCUACAUUUGUUAUUUAUUAAACAUUGCUGAUAUUUUCAUUUUUUAGAUAUUAUUGUAGUAGGAAAGUCAUGUGUAAGGUGUUGUAAAUGAGUAGUAUUUUUCUAGGCAGGAUGUCUUUAUUGACAAUUGUUAUUGUCACUCAAUCAAAACUGUCUAUUGAUAAGGGAUUGUUGCCACAGUUGAUCAGGGGUUUAUUGACAACAAAGUUGUCACUAAUUCCCCUAUGCCCUCACUAUCGUCCCUUCAUGCAUCACUUGCAUCACUGACAAGAGAAGGUGUUGUCACUAGAUUUAUAGCUUUUACUGAUGACAUAUGUUGUCAUAAAAAGUUUCAUUCACUGACAACUCUAAGGUCGUCACUGUAUACUUUCAUCUUUUACUGACGACAUAGAUUGUCAUAAAAAAGGUUCUAUUUACUGACGACUUUAAAGUCGUCACUGUAUACUUUUACCGACGGAGAUUCAGUGACGACCUUGCGACAACAGAAAUGUUGUCAAUAAUGGUCAUCAGUGACGACUUUUUGAUUAUUUGUGACGAAAAGUAGUUAUCACUGAUGACCAAAAUUCUUGUAGUGUGAGUAAUUCACAUGCAAAAAUACUUUUAAAUGACCAAUUUAAGAAUAUUUUGCAAUAAUUAAAAUAUGAGUCCUCACAGGUGCACCACACACCCAUAUGAAUUUAGAGCAAAUCACAUAUUGAGGCACAUUGAUGGGAGGCAAGGUUUGAAUCCUUAACCUCCCACCCCACAAUUAAUGUGGUGGCCAACAUUAUGCUCUUCUUGUUCACUCCAACAUUUUGUUCAACAUCAGCGCUUACUUUAGGUUUGGUCAUCACUGAUUUGGGGACGAAAUCCUACCACUGAAUGUCCCACAUGAGUAGUUUCACUUCACAAGGACAUUCAAUUGACUUUGAGCACCUUUCUCUUUCGCAAUUGCCAAGCACCCCAAGACAUUGCGCAUCUUGGCCAAUAAGACUCCGUUAGUGCUAUGAUUUUUGAGGAAACCUCGUGAGAAUGUUCAACUGUCUAAUCUUCCGUUGAUUGGUUCUUGGAGCAUUUUAGAAAUUUCAGAAGCCGAUAAAGCAUCAAAAGGAAAAUUAUUCUUUGAAAAUUAUAGUAAAUUUAUCUAUAUUUUUAGUUCCAUAAUUUUCAAAUAUGUUCGUACUAUACAUGUACAAAUUUAUAUGAGUAAUUUUGCCGAACACGCCGAAUUUUUAAUCGUACCUUUGAAAAUAAAUCUUGUAUAAUAUGCAUACAUAUACCUCGUAUUAUACCCAUAGCAUAUUUUACAAUCUAUGCCCUUAAUGCUAUAAAUAAAAUACGUAGGAAGUUAAAUGAACAAAUUGACUACAUAUCAUCAUUUGAGGAUCUAGCUUUCAAAAAUCACAUUGUCCAUAGGUUAGGACAUGCCCAAGGCUGGUCUAGUGCACACUGCACAGUGCCUUGUAAACAUAUUUUAACAUGCCCUAAGGGUUUAGCACUAAUUGGACAAGCUUACCAAGUCGGAUAUUAAACAAAUUAACUAGAUUUUUAAUUAGCGAAGCUCUACCAUCUUUAAUUAUGUCCUUGGGAUGAAUAUUUAAGGGUUGGAAGUUGCAUUAAUCCAAAAUGCACAGAAGUUAGCUCAAAAUACCACCUGGCCCAACAAAAAUUAAUGAGCAAGAAAUUCAAAAAAAAGAAAAAGAAAAAAGAGAGACCCUUAAAAAUGAGAGAUUUAUGGCUAAAUUCAUCCUCAUCCAUAGAUUGUGCCAAAAAAAUUAAUAAAUCUCUUGAUUGACUCCAUUCCUUUACUAGUUUCUGAAUUGUAGUGUCUAAACAAACUGUGUCUAUUACUUAUAUUAAUUGUAUUGUUUGGAUUAAAUGCCUAUGAAUACAGGCUUCUAUCAGUAUAUGAUGAAAUAUAAACAAAAUGUUGUUCUUUUCAUUUGGUUUUUUCUCAUGGUAUCGGUGCAAAUGAAGAGAUUCUAGCACAUUGUUUAACGUUUAGUACUAAGUUUAUGCUCUUUUUUUUUUUUGGUUUACUUCAACAUUUUGUUCGUCAGCGCUUACUUCAGGUUUUGUCAUCACUGAUUCAGGGAAGAAAUCCUACCGCUGAAUGUCCAACGAGUAGUUUCACUUCAAAAGGACAUUCAAUCGACUUUGGCCACCUUUCUCUUUCGCAAUUGCCAAGCACCCUAAUACAUUGCGCAUCUUGGCCAAUAAGAAUCCAUUAGUGCUAUGAUUUUUUGAGAAACCUCGUGAGAAUGUUCAACUAUCUAAUCUUCCGUUGAUUGGUUCUUGGAGCAUUUUAGAAAUUUCAGAAGCCAAUAGAGCAUCAAAAGGAAAUUGCAGCGACAGGGCUGCCUGCCAGUUUGAAUACUUUUUCCUCUAUAAAUUAACCGUGCACGAAGCUGCAGCCUAUAGGCACAUUUCUGCAUCUGUUCAGCUCAUCAAUUUACGGUUUCCAUCCAAUUUUGCAGCAGUAGUCUACCAUCCCAGAGUUGGAAAUGGAUGUGAAAAGCAAGAUUUUGAUCAUUGGGGGCACUGGAAACAUCGGGAAAUAUGUAGUGGAAGCAAGCACAAAAGCUGGGCACCCAACGUUUGCACUGGUCCGAGAAAGCACAAUUUCAGAUCCUAAGAAGGCAGCCAUCAUCGAGAGUUUCAAGAGUUUGGGAGUCAUAUUUCUUCUUGUGUGCUGUUAUUUCUUUCUUCGUUGUCUAAAUACUGUUUCAAUUUUUUUUCAAAAAAUUAUAGAAACUAACGUGUACGCAUGGACUGAACAGGGAGACCUACACAAUCAUCAGCAGUUGGUAAAUGCAAUCAAACAAGUUGACAUAGUGAUCUCUGCAGUCGGGGGAGAUUUGGUAGCUCAUCAAGUUAAGAUUAUUGAAGCAAUUAAAGAAGCUGGAAACAUCAAAGUAAGCACAAUACAGUGUUACAAAUUCUUUCUUGAUUUUUAUUUUUUGCGUUUGUCCCUUUGUGAGUUGUGACUUCCAUAUUCCUAAAGAAGGAGCAGUCUUUGGUUUCAGAGAUUUUUACCUUCUGAAUUUGGGGGUGAUGUGGAUCGUGUGCAUGCCGUUGAGCCUGCUGCUAGCUUAUGCAAGACCAAGGUUGAGAUCCGCAGAGCUAUUGAGGCAGAAGGGAUACCUUACACUUAUUUAGUAUCUAAUGGAUUUGCUGAUUACUUGAAUUAUAUCCUCAACAACUUUGGAGACACUGGUUCUGCAAGUCCUCCCAGAGACAAAAUUGUCAUUCUUGGUGACAGAAAUCCAAAAGGGAUCCGAAAGAAGCUUGUCUGCUGCAUUUCUUGAUUGGUUUAGUAUCAUGUUUUAGAGUUCAUCGUUCUCAAUUUUUUCUUCAAUUUUAUGUUUCGUUGUAGUUGUUUACACCAAGGAAGAAGACAUUGCUGCAUACACCAUCAAAGCAGCAGAUGACCUAAGGACUCUGAACAAGAGUCUGUACAUUUCACCACCUGCCAACACUUUGUCCUACAACGAAAUAGUAUCAUUGUGGGAAAAGAAAAUUGGCAAGACCCUCGAAAAGACCUACGUUCCAGGGGACGAAGUUCUUAAGAAAAUUCAAGGUCAUCUAACAAAAAGAAGAAAGUGCACAAGUUGCUAAUUUUAAUACAAUAGCAUCUACUAUUAUUAACACCUAUUCCGCGUUCUAAUCAAAUUGGUUUCUUUUCUGUAUCUUUCGCAGAGGCUUCAAUGCCAUUAAAAUUGCUCCUGUCUUUGGCAUACACAGUUUUCGUGAAGGGAGAACUAACCAAAUUUGAGAUCAAGGCUUCUUUUGGCAUGGAGGCAACAGAGCUCUAUCCUGAUGUUAAAUACACCACACUUGAUGAGUACCUCAGCCAGUUUGCAUCAAAUUAGCUUAGAUGCUUUCAGAUUAGCUCUACAAGAUUUUUGCAGCAGUUUCUUGUGUACUACUAGAUUUUUUUCUUCUUCCAGAUGAGGAUUGUCAUGAAUGUGAUCGAAAUAAAAUCUGCCCUUAAUUUGUAUCCCGUCUUUUGUGUACUUGGGUUGAAUUCUUCCAACUUGAAAUCAUCAUCUGGUUGCCUCUGAGUAUCCUUUCUUGAUACUAACCACCUGCCUUAUGAUUUGGAUCCCUUUUUGGCCGAGGCUAAAUUCCGGACAAUGCAAGGCAAAUUAUAUACUCCUCGUCUCCUUGGUCCCGAAAUUGCAGAAAAUAUUGAGAUACACAGGCAUAGUUGUGCUCAUCUGAUUGAGCUCUUUUGAGACCUGAGUUUUCAGGAAGUGGACCAUUUCUCAUCUAAACAGUUGCCUAAGGCCAAAUUAUCACAAGAAGCACACAGAAAACAAAUUUGUAGCUAUUUUGAACUCUAUUAAUUUCCGAAUUUGAGUCAAAAGUCUUGUGCUUGAUCUUGAUGUUUCUCCACAGUCGCGAUUUGAUUUGGAUUUCUAUUUUUUUUAUAUAAAUUUUGAGAUUGUAUGUUAUAAAAAAAUAUCAACAUGAAACAUGCUUUGAGGUUGUAACCUAUUUGUUUAGGAAUUAAGAUUUCUUCACCAAAACAAAAAAGAAUAUGUCAUUACUAAGCUAUUAAAGUCAUGAUUAGGUUUCCCAUCACCUAAAAAAUGAUAUAUAAAAAAUAAUUUGAGAGCAUGAGAGCAUGUGUAUUCGUUUUGUGCUGAUAAAAAAAAAAACUAAAAAUGACCCCCCCAAAAAAACAAUACCAAAAAACCCCACCAAAAAAAAAACUAAAUAUAAUAGCAAAAGGUGAUAUUCAUACAUUCCCAGUGGUUAAGCACUUUUUAAGGUACACGGUUUGUAGCUACAUAUCCUCAUGCUUAUUCUUGUCAUCUACCUCUGUUUGAGUAAAUACUGCAGCAACAGGGUCAAUACAGAAAUUAACAUGCUCCCCAGGCUUGAUCUCAAGUCACUCAUCUAGUUCCUUGUUGGCAGAAAAACCAUGCUCCUUUGGUAUACUAAACAGCAAAAAUAGCAAAGAUGUUUAGUAUGUGAGGAUCUCAAAAUUGCAUUAAUUUCUGAAAAUUAAAAUCAAAAUAUUAUUUAAAUGUUGAAAUUAGUAAAUAAUAUGUAUUUAUAUUUAAUAAUGUGUAUUUAUAUUAUUAAUGAUGUUUUCACUUAUAUAAAUGUUAUAUUUUAAUUUACAUGAAUUAUUAAAAAUUUAUUUGACGGUUCGCGUUCGGCUAAGCAUUAGGGUGAAUUUUUGCUCACUAACGCGCAAUGUAGCCCUAAGUUGAAAUGUAGGGUAUCUAGAGGUUAUAAAAAUGUACAACUAAGUUGAGGAAAUGUUAAGUGGGGAAUUCCUACCAGUAGAUAAAAUUCUCGCGCGUAAACGCGAUUCAAUUCAAAAUUUCCUCACCCUUAAUGGCAGGCCCAAAAGUCAACAAACCUAUACCUUUAGCUUACCUUCAUUUUCAACCCAUCUUAUCCCAGCUUUCACGUCCCUAUCUUCCCUCCAAAUUCUGAUCUUCGGGUGCAAGAAAGAAACAGGAGCCGCUGCUCUUCCACAGCUUCCACCGAUUCUCCAUCUUCACUAACCUUCAACUCCUACCUUCACCUUCCUUUUCCAGCAUCAACCUUUACUCUUUGCUGCUGCCUCGAUCGAUCAAGAGGAAGGAGAAGAUCGCUGUUCCUGCUGCUACUCUCGCUGCUCCUGCCGCUGCUACUACUGCUGGGUUGUUCGGACCUGGGUGAAGGAGAAAAACCAGCUUCCUUUUUCUUCCUUCCACCAACCACAGAACCACCCCAAGCUCACCAAAAACCCCAGAACCCCAGCCCUCUUCAUCUUCGGUCGCUGUUGUGCUGCUGCGGUGACAGGUCAGACAAGCGGAAAAACAGAGUGCAAGGGUCACUACAAGAAAAUUGGUCAUCAGUGACAACUUUUCUCUGUGACGAAAAAAAGUUGUCACAAAAGUGGAUCCUUUAUUGACGACUUUCUAACUCGUCACAAACCUCUAAUGGGAGCCAACUCAUUUGUGACGACUUUUUCGUCACUAGUAAAUUCCCGCCAAGAUUUAGCAAGAGCGCGGCAGUGUUUAGAACACACAAUAGUGACGACAUUAAGAACAUCAUCACUAUUGCUUGGCCUAUUUACGGACGAGUGUUUGUUGUCGUCACUGAUCACUAAAAAAAAAAGUUAUUAGUGACAACAUUUUGUAGUGAUGACAAUAAGUUGUCACAAAAGGAGUUUCUUUAGUCGCGACACCUAAAGUUGUCACAAUUGCAUCAAAGCAACUAAAUGUUUAGUGACGACCCGUUAUUUUCGUCACAAACUACACUGCAAGAAAUAUGGUCAUUAGUGACAACAUUUUUUAGUGACGACAAAAGUCGUCACAAAACGUGGUUGUUUAGUGACGACAAGGAGAGUUGUCAUAAUUGCUCAAAGCAACUAAGUAUUCAGUGACGACCUUGAAAAAGUUGUAACUAAAAUGAUCUAUAUAGUGACAACUUCUCAUAUCGUCACUGUCACUCUACCGAUUCGGAUUUAGUGAUAAGAAUUAAUCGUCACUGUUUAAAGUACUUAUUUCUAAGUCACUUUCAUUAAUUCUACUGUGCCACCCUAACUUUUAUAAUUUAGCCCCAAAUGUUGUAAAAAAUUCCAUUGAUUCCAUUAUGAUACCUUAACUUUUACAAUUUAGCCCCAUAUGUAGUACACCGAUUUCUUUAAUUCUAUUAUUACUCCCUAACUUUUGUAAUUUAGCCCCAUAUGUAAUUCACCAAUUUCAUUAAUUCUAGUAUGACACUCUAACUUUUACAAUUUAACCCCAUAUAUAAUACACCAAUUUUAUUAUUUCUAUUAUGGCACCCUAGCUUUUACAAUUUAGCCCCUAUUUUUUUAUUAGGAAAUUGCGAAUGGUAUCUUGAUAAACUAUGCAUAAAUAUUUUAUAAUUUUCUCAAACUUAAGUAAUAAUUUGUUAUAAACUCUAAAGAUAUAUCUUUCAUUACAAUAGUUAUAAGGCAGGCAGGUCUUUUAUCAAUGGAAUAAGAAAUUUAUGCCAGAUUUAUCCUUUGUACUACAUGCCAAGUAGUAUUAGCAAAGGAAUAACAAAGUACUACAAAGUAAUUAACAAAAUAGCCUUCAGGGAGUGUAGUUUAUGGGCAAAUGAGCAUUAUCUAUUCAAAGUACCAACUUUUUAUGGGCAUUUUACUCUCAAACAUAUAAUUUAUGAUAAAUUUAUAAAUGUUUGCAAGUAAAAUUCAAAAAGUGUUACACUGAUUUCUUACAAAACGAAAACUGGCAGGUUAUCUUUUCAACAUAAAUUAAAUUUUUUUAAAAAAAGAAAUGGCCCAUAAAGUACCAACUCUUUGUGGGUUUCCUCCAUUACAUGAACAAAUAUUCUGCUCUUUAUGGGCAUUUCACUCUGAAUCAUUUAAUUUAUGUUAAAUACAUAAAUGUUUGUAAGUAAAAUUCAAAAAGUGUUGCACUAAUAUUUUUAUGAAAGGGAAACUGGUAGGUUUUGUAUUUAACAUAAAUUAAAUAUGUGAAAGCAAAAAAAAAAGAAAUUACCCAUAAAUCUAUGUCUUGCAAAUCUAUACUAGUAAAAUAGUUUCAAACAAAAUUAAACAUUAAAAUAAACUGUAAUUUAUACACAUUAAAAUAUCUGUAAUUUAUACACAUUUUGCAACUACUACUUUGUGUUUUCUCUGUAAUGAAUUUUUUAACUAUUGAGAACUUAAGUUUUGUCUUGCAAAUCUAUACUAGUACAAUAGUUUUAAACAAAAUUAAACAUUAAAAUAAAUGUUUGAAAAAGAACAAAAGUACAUUUAUCACUUGCAGUAAUGUAACAAAAUUUUCUCAACCAUUAUCAAUAUUUUCACAAAAGUAUUAAAAACUAGCAAUUGACAAUAUUAAAAACUAGCAAUUUAAUUAGUGACGACUUUUCUUGUCAUUAUAAUCUUGAAUAAAUUAGUGAUAACAUUAUGUCAUCACUAAAUUUUCUUUGAUUUUGACUUAACAAUAAUGUCUUAUUAAUAGCAUUUGAUUAUUUUUAAUGAAAGUCUGUUAUAACCAUAGAAUUUGACUUUCGUUAUUUUCAAUUAAUGAUGUACUUUAGUGCUGCAAUUAUAAAAAAUUGCAGGGCUAAAAUAUUUGCAAAUUAUAAAAGUAUAUUUUCCCUUAUAUGUAAUUAACAAAUUUUGCCACCUAUAUUGAUGAAAAUUUGUGUUUUUGUACUAAAAAAUAAAGAAUAAUACUAUAGCAAUAAAAUCUAUGCUUCAAACCAAAUUAAAAAUAAAAAAAGCAUGAUGAUUGGUCUCAAAUGUUGGGAAAAUGAUUAUUUUUAUUGAAACUAUGUUAUAACCAUAUAAUUUGAGUUUAAUUAUUUUCAAUUACAUGAUGUUCUUUAGUGCUGCAAUUGUAAGAAAUUAGUAUAAAAUAUUAGCAAAUUAUAAAAGUACAUUUUCAAUUAUAUGAAAUUAACAAAUUUUGCCACCUAUGUUGAUGAAAAUUUUUAUUUUUUGCUAAAAAAUAAAGAAUAAUACUAUAGCAUUAAAAUCUAUGGUUCAAACCAUAUUACAAAUCCAAAAAAAAACAUGAUUUUUGGUAUCAAAUGGAGGGAAAAUGAGUGAAGUCAAAAUUUUGAUCAAAUCAUAGUGAAAGUGCCGCGCAACAAAAACAAUAUCCAAAGCAAAGCAAAGACCAAAGCAGCGGAACACAUUCUGAAAACAAAAGCAACGGAACACUUGGUCUGAGUUAAAGCAACGGAACACUUGAGCAACACAAACUUUUACCGAGCUGAAACAAACAAGCUUCUGCACUGAGCACAAAACAGAGCUUCCGCACGGCACCUGAUACUUUCACCCACACAAGAAAAAUGGGGGGGGGUCUGAUGACAGAGAGAGCAAGAAAAAUGGGGGAAAAAGGCUUCGGCUGAGAAGAGGAAAAAGAAAGACAGGAGGAAAUAGAGGGAGCUGAAGGGAACAACGGGCGAGAGGAAAAAGAACAAUUAGAGAGGGGAGCUUGGUCUGAGGCUAGAGGAAAAACAAAGGGAAAGAAAGAAACAAAAAAGAAAAAGGGGGAAGAAAGCUUCGGGAGGUUGAGGAAAACAGAGAGAGUGGCGGCGGACGGCUGCUAAGGGUAGGAAACAAAAAGGAGGAAAAAGGAAAGCUACGGCGAGCUGAAAAGAAAGAAAAACAAAAAAUCAGAGAGGGAAGGUUUCAGAGGAGAGAGGAGUAAGCUAAGAGGAGAGGGCGGCGGAUAGAGCUAAGAAAAAACGGACAAAAGAGAGAAAGGGCUAGAGGAGAGAACAGGAAAGCGCAAAAAUGAAACAUAGGAAAAGAAACCCAAAGAAAGCAAGGGAGAGCUAGGGGCUGAAAGGAAGAAACAGAGAUAGAGGGAGCUUCGGCUGAGGUUUGGGGAAGCAGAAAAACAGAGGAAAAAGCCGAAAAACAGAGGAUAAGGAAAGGGAGGCGGCGGUAAGGAGUGAGAGAGGGAGGAAGUUGUCGGUUGGAGCAGAAACGAAAGCGAAGGAAAAACUAGAGGGAGAAAGACCAGGCGGAGCCGCCACAUUCCGUCGGAAUCCGCCACUGUCAUCCACGAACCUCCACCGUGAGAGAUCACUGUAAGUUAAUCUUCUCCUUUACAUUUCAGUUUUUUCAUUCGAAUACAAACUCUGAAAGUUUUCGGAGCAUGUCUGCCGAUGAACAUGCCAUGUUUGCUGUUAGUUUUUUGUUUCAAAUUUCAUGUCAAUUGUUCAUGGCUUUUUCUGGAUGUUGAUUGGACUGAAAUUUUGGGUUUGCUGAAAAUUUUGGGGCCAAUUAUAGCUUCAAUUGAGUAAGGAAGUAGUGAAGUUUCCAAUGCCCCUAACCUGUUCGAUGAAAUGCCCAACUGAGUUUUCUAAUUGAAAGAUAACUGGUCUGCAUUUUUACGUGUGAAAAAAUAAAUGAUGAACAUUCGGUUGGUUUUUUGUUUGUCCGAAUAACCAAAUUUUGGAUUGAAUGCCUGUGUUUCCGAUGGAUUUUUGGGGUUGAUUAACUUCACGUGUCCAGUUUUUGUUGUUUGCUUGGAGUGUGGUUCAGCUGAGCUACACGACUGCUAAUAAAAUAAAAUGGGUGGAGAGUUUGUUGGGUGAUUCUGUUUUGGUGACAUGUCCGGACUUUGAUAUGCUUUCUCGAAAGUGGUUGAGUUAGAAGUGGAUGUUCAUAUCAUGUAGCUGCAUUUUAUUUCUUCCUCUCCCUGUCCCAAGUUCACGCAUUUGAGUCUGGUUGAUGACUGUGAAAAUUUGAUUUGAAUAUCAUAUAUGUCAUUGAGAUUGGCUAGAUUUCUGCCAUUCGGGUUUGUUUCACUACCUGCUAUUCGGGUUUGUCUUUUGAUCUGAUGCUAUUCGGAAAAUGAUGCUUGGGGUUACAUGUUGUUGAUCCAAAGUUACAUAAAUCAAGCAUGUUUGGUUUUUUGAACUGUUUGGCAUGAAUAUAUCUAAGCUAAAAUGAAAGAAGCAAAAAGCUGCUGCAUUCUUAUUGCUGUUUUCCUCUCUGCUCACUGAGUUUUUGCACAUAAAUUGCUGUUUCAUCUUAUGUUGAAAGAAAAAAUGGAAUGUUUGGUGUUGAGUUUGCAUUUUUGGGUCCAAGAAAACAUAAACUAGCUUGAAUGUUGACCAAGUUAGCUAGAUUUCCCUAAAGAUCCAGAAUAGUGUAUGGUGUUUAUGUAUGCAAAUACAUGUUGGGAACAAAAAUGCAUGUCUAUGUAUAAUAAGCGAGUUAUGUUUGAAAUAAAAUAUGCUAAACAACAAAUGUUAGCGUGUGAGAGAGAGAGAGAGGAGAGACAAGUGUGCCUGAGAGAGAGAGAGAGAGAGAGAGAGAGAGUAUAUGUGAGAGGGAGAGAGUGUGUGUGUCAAAGAGAGAGAGAAAGUGUGCGUGAGAGAGACUAUAUGUGUGUGCGUGUGUGUGAAAGAGAAAGAGGCUGUGUGCAUGUAUGAAAGUGUGCUAGUAUGUGAAAUAAUAUUUUGGGUAAAAUACAAGGAACCUCCUUGUGGUUUCGCGAAAAGACACCUCACCCCCUUAUCGUUUAGAAACCUGCACAUAAACACCAUAAACUUCAUAACUAAAGUGGAAAUUACCUAUUCAACCGGCUUAGUUACCGGCAGAAGGUCAAAUACCCUGGCAGGAUGUCCAAUUCCUUCACAAAAAAGAAAAAAGUUACUGUCCAGGGAAACUAAUUUGUACAACGUCGACCAAAGAGAUAUCUGUGAUUCGACUUCACUCUCCCACCCGAUAUAAGCAUACAUAAGAGAGAGAAGGCAAAAGCGAAGAGAUCCGCAACACUCCUCCUUUCUCCAGUCUUGCAAUGGUAUCAGCAGCAUGCGACACCACCAAAGCAAAUUUGCUAUGAAUCAGAUUCUGCCAUACAGAUUGACAAGAAACGAGCUUUGUCAGGAAAAUUGGUGCUGAUAAUCACGUGAAUGCAGAUGUCAAAAAGAAAUGUUUGCCAAGCUUGAGAAGAUUGAAAAUAAGAGAUUGCAGCUGUUACGGACUUCGAAUCUGAGGAGAAGAAAGUGCAGUGAGGCUUGAGAAAGUGUAGUGAGGCUUGUUAAAACAGAGACCCAAUGCUUCAGGUCUGUAGGAACAACAUUGAUGAAAGAGGGAAUAUGGUAUCGCAAGAUUUUCCAUUCAAAUUUUUUAUUCUGAGUUUGAAUAUCCUUCAGAACACUCUGCAACAUGAGACGACCUUUAGUAGUGAAGACAUACCUUUCAUUGUUCAGAAAUGGGAGAGUUGAGUUCUAGCUUUACCAUGUCUGUCAUUGACUGGAUCCUCUGGUGAAAAAUUGCUAAAAUACAUAACCAGUUCAUUUUCCAUAUAUGGCAAGCAAAUUUAGUCAAUGAAAUUCCAUCUGGAAGUUGUAAAUUUUUAAAAACCAGAAGACACACGGAUCAAACACUUUAUCCAAAACCUGUGCCCACUUAAAAAGCAAAAAGACAAAAAAAAAAGGAAUUAGCAGAAGUUGAAAUACUGGUCCUGCAGAUUUAUUAACUAUUUGUAUUUGUAGCCCUGGGUUAGUUCUUCACUACAUUAAUUUCGAAGAGAUCGGUUAAUUUUGGCUCAGAUCUGCUUUAGCCUUUGGAAUUUGUUUGAACCUUGCCUGAGUGUAGCAGUCAAUGAAAUCCGAUGUUGUAAUUUCGAUUCUUUAAUCUGUAGUGGAUUACUCUCCAUUCAUGGGGAUCGAGAAGGGUGCUGUUCUGCAGGAAGCGAGGGUCUUUAAUGAUCUUCAAUUGGAUCCUAGGAGAUGUUCACAGGGUCCAAUUCCUUCCACUUUAGUAAUGAAGUUUAAGGUGUUUAUGUGCAGGUUUCUAAACGAUAGGGGAGUAAGGUGUCUUUUCGCGAAACCACAAGGGGGUUUCUUGUAUUUUACUCUAAUAUUUUUGAUGAAUAAUGUUACCCUUAGUUGCUCUUUCAAGCUGAACUGUUAACUUCAGUAUAGAAGUUGUCUGAACAAAACCAAACUGGCUUGGUUAUGUGAAUUGGCAGUUCACUUGGGCAGUUUUCAACUAUAGCAAAAAGCGCCAUAUUAAUUAGCUCAUUCUCUAGUUUGAUUAGAUUGGAAAUGGAAAAUACUCUAUUACUUGAUAUAAUAUGGGAUUGUGAGUGAUUAUAGAAUAAAAUCUAAAUUGCGUUAAACAUUUAACCUUGUUAUAUAUGUGAUAUUGCCUUACGACCUCUGUUUCUUUUGUUUCAUGUAUAUUGAUUUAAUUUUCUGAAGAUGGGAUCUCAUUGGAAACAAAUAUUGAAUGAUCUAGUAUGACGUCUCUCAUGUGUAAAGAAAGUGUAAACCUCUAGAGUUAUAAUAUUAGUUCUACAAUGAUUUUCUAUUCGAACUGUAGGAGCAGCAAUUAUAGGUAGAUAUCUCCAAAAAGAAGGGACACCCAUUUUAAUAUAUUUUUAUAAGAGGCUUAAAGUGCAAAUGGUUUUGUACUUGACUCCGGAUUUGUGUAUUAUCAAUUCUGUACAAGUUGCCGCAUUUAUUUAUUUAUUUUUUUUCACUUUAUGGUCUGAGAUGGUUCCUCACUAGACUGGCCAAAAGGUGGGGGGUCUUCAAGGGGAAGAGAUAAGACAGCCGAGGAGGUGAGGUGAAGGGAGAGGAAAGAGUACCUAGCAAACCUUGAGGGAAUCCAGUCUAACUUAAUCCUUUUGUAGUUGGUUGAAUACAUUUUGAUAUUACGCAUUCAAGUGAACCUUUUUAACUCUUAUACCACAAGUAGGAAACUUUCUUACGUGAUUUACACAUUAUUGGAACACUAGCUGUAUGCGAAACUUUUGUGUUUGGACGCAUACUCAUUGAUUGUUGUAUCGUAUUGUUAUAUAAAAGAUCAGAAAUUUUUUGGAAGCAGAUCUGGCCGUAUUUAGAAUGGUAAGGAAAACUGAGGAUGACCUUUGAGAGGUGAGAGAAGUAAUGAUUAAAAUAAGCUAAAAAAGAAAAAAAGGAAAUAGGUUAUGCUUCGUUCAUCAGGUUCCUUGUGCAUAAGAUUUGUACAUGUGCUAAAUGGUUAUCUUCUGGAAUAUGUGCUUGUAACAGUACAUAUUUCUGAUUUACCGGUUAUUCUUGUGGAGAUCCUCUUAGGUUAGUUUAACUAGACAUAUUACCAACAAUAUGGUAAUAGCAUUUUUUGGGCCUGAUGUUAUGCAUCAUUGUUAUCUGAACUUAUUCUUUGGGAAAUAUCUAGGUAUCAUGUAUAUAGUGCUGUUAGUUUAUCAAUAGAGAGGUAAAAAUCUGAUUGUUCAUCUGCAAUAGUAUAUUAUUUCCAAGUACAAGCGACAGACCAUGCAUGGAUAGCAAUCUUCUUUUUGCCUAUGUAGUGACUUGAAAGAAAUGAAUAUAAUGCAAAGGGGGCGUUUGUGAACUUUGAUUGGUUUCACCAGUUUAGAUGGUCUUCACUUUCACAUUGUGAGGCAAAUAGCUCAUUCUCUUUGCACAGUUUAAUCCUACAGAGGCAUCGUUUCCUUCAUGAUUUAUGAAGCAUAAACUCCUAAAAUCAAAGAGGGCUAGUACCUCCUGUAUUCACACCUCGUACAAUAAGUUGCUUUCUGUGUUUUAAUAUAUAAACAACCAAAAGCAUAAAGAUUAAACAAUAAUUACUGUGGGAGUCCAAUUUAAUUGUUCAAUAAGUUGAGCUAUUUAAAGAAGAAGAAAGAAAAUUAAAAAAAAAACUGUUUUAGAGAGCUCUUUAGUUGAGCUUAUGCAGUGUUGUAUUUGUAUAGAUUGGACUGUGAUUUCUAACUUCUUGCUGGUGUUGUAAUAUGUGGGCCCAAAUUAUAUGAGGUUCUUAAUGAAUUGUAAUUUUUGUCUUAAUAAUCUAAGUCUCAUUACUUGUUCUUUAUUAUUGUACUCCUCCCCUUACCUACUUCUUUUACUCUUUUAUGACAGAUAAAUGCUAUUUAUACUAGCUUUUGGAAGAUAUCUAUGGUUAUGGUUGAAGAAUGUUGAAGACAAAAUUGCCUUUUGCUCAUGGAGUGGUUCAUUUAGAUGUUCUUCAAUUUCUUAAACUGUGAUUGCUUUUGUAAAUGUACCUUAUGUACAAGUGAUAUUUUGAACAAAUGUUAUUUUUGUAGGCAUUAGUUGGAUAAUGUACACUUGAAUUUGGCAUUUGAGAAUGCUAUAUUAUUACCAUGUAAUCUAAUGCAAAUACUUUUGGUUAUCAAUCGUUCAUGUUUAUUUGUAUGGUUUGUUUAAAAUCAAUGAUUUAGCAAUGAUUACAAGCCAAAUUAUGACUAUUAAGCUAUUGAGAAAUUAUCUAAUGACAAAAAAAAGUUGUCACAAAAUAGAAAAUAAAAACUCCUUGUGACAACAGAGACUGUCACUAAAUCUAAGCUACAUUUGUGACGACAAUUGUUGUCAGUAAAAUAGUUAUAUACAAUGGCUUUCGGUGCUUUUUAGUGACGACCUUAAGUAGAGUAUUUUUGAUUAAAGGUCAAUUCGUCAAUAAAACACUUCCGGAUUGUCGUCACUAAUGACAACUAUUUAGUGACGACCUGAAAUGUCGUCACUAAAUAGUUGUCAUUAGUGACGACAAUCCGGAAGUGUUUUAUUGACGACUUGAUCUUUUGUCAAAAAUGCUCUACUUAAAGUCGUCACUAAGGAGAACUAUUUAGUGACGACAUUUUAGGUCGUCACUGUUUACUUUUACCGACGGGGAUUUAGUGACAACUUUGUGACGAUCAAAAAGUCGUCAAUAAAAGGUAUUUGUGACAAUAUUUGUAUGUUCUGUGAUGACUUUGUGUUGUCACUGAUGAACAAUUUUCUUGUAGUGGGUGCCGACUGACUUCUUUGAUAGGAGCAAACUUGGGGAACUAGGCACUUCAUUUAGCUAGUAAACAACCACCUGAAGGUAACCCAAAAACUUCCGCCUAGCACUUAGCAGGAUUUUAGAUUUUUGCAGCUUUUGGUUCUUGAAAUUUUAGCUUGCGUUGGUGAAACUUGUUGGGUUGCUGAUCCUCUAAGCUAAUGAUUGAUGAAGCUAGAGGUGUUUUAUGUGUUUAUAUGUGUGUUUUGUGGUGGUUAAAUGUUGGAAAAUUUUUAAGAAUGAAAAUGGGGUGCUGGCCGGAUGAGGAAGCAAUUUUCCAGCUUUGUUACCGGUUGUUGUUUUGCAAUUUUUGCUUAGGUAAUGAACUGGAUUGCUUGUUAGGAGGAUAGACUGAUUAGUUGUGAUUGUUAUGGACUUAAAGUAUGAGUUAUAAGUUGAGAAUGGUUGAGCAAAAAGAGGAGCAAAUUUCUGCUCUGCUAUAGCCGCACAAACAGGCUUGAUUUUCUUCUUUUUUUUACCCAAUUUUUUUGAGCUGGAUUUUGUGAAGUUAUUGAGCUAUUUAAAUCAUGUAUAUGUUCACUUAUAUGUGUAGAGUAGUUUUGGUGAAAAUUCAGCUUUGGUACAAUGGGAAAUUUCAUUGAAAAAUCAAAGAGAAAAAAGCCCCUUGAGCUGUCCAAAAAAAAAAAAAAAAUUCUGGAAAUUUCCAGAUUUUUGGGCGAAUUUUGGGGUUUGGUUUUGACAAGUUUUUGAACCAUUUGAGCUGUAAACAUGUUAACCUAUAUGUGAAGUAUUGUUUGGGUAAAAAUGUAGCUUUUGAGUAAUUGAAAAAUUUUGGACAAAUUGAAGAGAAAAUGGUCUGCUUGUACCAAAUGCACUUGGAAAUUUUUCCAGCUUUGCAUGAGACAUGUUGAAUGAUUUUCACGUUAACAUGAACCCAAUUUGACUUGUGUUUAGUUAAGGGGUGUGUAUAGCUCAAUUUGGGACAAAAAUCUAGUAGAGUUUACGUCCAAAAAGUGGACCAAAAUUUUAUUCUUCACGAGGCUACCCAAAACAGAAAUUUUGUUUGAAAUUAGAAAUGAUUUUGACGUUUGGAUUUCGUUUUGGUUAAAUGUGGACUAAAUUGUCCCGAAAAUGUUUUCUAGCAUUAACCUUUGUUACUAGGUCCACUUCGAGUCAAUAACCUUGAAUUUUAUUAGACCAAAUGCCCUAUUUCGAGAAAUAUGCCAAAUUUGGAAAUUUCCUUGAAAACUCAAGUUUUUGCCUUCAUGAAAAUCCUUGAACCAAGUUGGUCAAUGGAAUUUGGCAAACUUAAGGAGUUUCUAUUUUAUAGAAAUUCCAACGACUAGUUUUACUUGGUUUAUAUGAUUUCCUCUUAAAGGAAUUUUCCAAGAUAUUUUUGGGGAAAAUUAGAGGGGAAAAUUCCUCUAAAUGGUUAAAUGUGAUUUUUCUCAACUUGUGACACCAAAGUGGUGUUAAUUGCUUAUAUGACUCUAGAACUUGGUUAUUGGAAUAUUUGACGAAUUUAGCAAGUUUUUGGUUUUAAAGAAAUCUCAAAAUUUAAUUUCACUCGAAAUUCGUGGAUUUCACCUUAAGAAAACGAUUAGUGCUAGUUUGGGAUUUUUGAGUGAAAUUAAAUGCUAGUUGACUCGAGUUAAAUUCGCCAAAUCAAAAGUGGAAAUUUAUGUGAAUUAUUUGUAUGAUUUUAGGAGUUGGUGAAGAGCACAAUCUCGAUCAAAGUUUGGAAUUCUAGACUCUUCACUUGAGGUGAGUGUCUCUUGCAUGAAUCGUGUUUAACUGCUAGUUGAACUACUUGUUAAAAGUACUUGCUAGAGAUAUCAUGAAAUGUUAUAUGCUAUGUGAUUGCGUGAAAUGCCACAAGUACAAGUGUUGCAAUGUCGAUUGGAGCGUGGUCUCGUCGACUAAAUAAACCAAACGGAUGCACAUACCACGCUCUAUUAGAGUGGGAGGUACCUCUCUGCCGUCUUGGUAAAAGUGCUUGCAAAAUUCGUGUUGGAGUCGGGCCCGAAAAUAAGGAGGAAGUCGUUGCUAGGAGACGUGUAGAUUAGGGAAAUGUCUACAUGGAGAUUAGAUAGUGAAAGUUGACGGAGUGUCAACUACUAUAAAUUACCUGAUCAAGCGCGAGGACUUUGGCUCCUGAGAGCCCCGUAUCCUUUUCUUGUCAUGUUACUUCGAUUUUCUAAAUUGUUAAUUGCUUACUUGUCCAUUUGUACUUGUUAAAUUGCCCUAUGUGAAUUGCAUGUUUCGAGGCACCAUUGAGCUAUUGGCUCAUCCCUUCCAAUUUGUUUUCCUUGACAGGUUCUGAGUUGCAUGAAGUCUUGGAGAACUAGAAAAGAAAUGUUAUAUUUUGAAUGCCCACUUUUGUAUAUGUACUUUGGGAAAACUUUAGUAUCUUUUGGAUGACUUUUGUGUCUUUGGGAAAAUGUGAAUCCUGUGGUGCUUCUGUGCCCUGGAUUAGGAAUUUUAAAUUGUAAAUUAAGUUGAAUUUAAGUAUUUUAAGUUAGACAUUUUCUUUGAUGCUUGAAAUUGUACUUUUGGACAGAGUAAGUUGAAUGGUACGGUUUGUUUAAGUACUUGGCUUAUGCGAGAAGUAAAGUUUAUUUACGAAUUAUAUUUGAUGAUGUUAGAUGAUUGAGUGAGUGAGUCCCGGCGAGAGCUGGGCAGGCGACUCGCCGAACCCUCUGGUUCGCCUUAGGGGGAGGUGGGGCCGCCACAUAGUAUAUACAGUAUGGUUGAUUCGGAAGUUCUUUGGUACACUAAACAACAAAUGAUCAAACAUCCGAGUUCAUCAAUUUCCCAAAUACCAACCAUGAAUAUGUGCAAUUUCAGAACUGAACUCAAAAAACCUUCCUCACCACGGACCACUACAUAUGCACAUCUACUUCUGAUUGAGGGAAUACUACAUCAACAGCGUCAAUAUAGAAAUGAACAUGCUCAUCUACCUCGAGUUCAAGACUUUCGCCUAAUUCAAUGAUGGAAACAAAACAAGAUUCCUUCUUCAUCUCCUUCCUAUAAAGAAGUAUCAUCUUCCUUCUUCCCCUCCCGAAGAGGGGCAGCAGAAUGCUCCUCCUCAAGCGGUGAAGUGGUGAACACUCAACCUAGCACAAUGUGGUGGUUUUUGCCCCACAGUUGCGAGCCAAAGGGUAGCAUUGGACUAUGACCAUGAUAUUGAGAAGGAAAAUAAUGGUCAGGCAAUCCCUCAACUUUACUAUAGAAUGGAGCAGGUCCUUCAAAUAAACUCUUGUCAAAUACGCGGUAGCCAAAAACACUGAUGCCGAAAGUUUUGAACAAGUAAUUCCAUUCCACACAAAAGGGAUAAUAAUGAACCAAUCACGAUUGUCGACAAACCUUGAACACUUUGUCAACCUCUGAAUCGUAACACACAACAGCAACUUGAUCACCAGCACCGAUAGGAAACAGGACGUAGUGCUGAGAGUCAACUUUUUGAUCCAAGGGAGGGACGGAGAGAUCCUUCAAUGGGAGGUUCACCAACAGGAAAUUUACAACUUAGAGGAUGCUGCUAGGGUUGGCUAAAUGACUGAUCCAAAUACUUGCCCCAUGGAUUGCCUACCUCAUUUCCUAAGGACAGAGAUUCUGCUACCCCUGAUUGCUUGGUGAGUGGGCAAAAAUCUCCGUGUGCAAUCAAGGAAGGACCUUUGAAUCACCCAUUCUCAAGCUUGGAAGGGCUUGGAGGCGUCGUAAAAGUAAACUGUGCAAUCCUCUUAAUCGUCAGGCUUCAUGACAUAAUUAGAACCAUCUUCAGCAGGGUGAAAAUUGAAUCCUACUAGACCAUAAAUUAGGGAUCCACAGGAACCAAAAGUUACCUCUAAGCCUAAAACUGGCAUUUAAUUCUCGAUUUUCCGAGCGCGGAGUUUACCACCACCAGCGGUCUGUGAUAAGUUGACUACAUACCAAACCAACUCAAAUUCUCUGCCAAACCGACUACAUACCAAAAUUGGUACAUAGUUUAAGUCCUUCAAUUUUUUGGUCAAACUUAUGUUUUAAUCCUUUGUGAAUAGAGGAAGCACAAUCAUAUUUUUUUUUACUUUUCAAGUUAAUUAAUGAACAAUAUGUCCUCUACUCUUAGUGCAUUUUGAUACUUAUUUUCUAAACAUGAUUUCUGUAAUUUUGAUACUCAUAGAUAACUAAAUAAUCAAGCCCUAGCUAGCUGAAUGUACCGUGUGAUCCAAGAUAUUUUGCUCCAUUAUCUACCUUAAUGGGGAAGUUAAGACACCAUAAUAUCUACAUGUUUUUAUUGUAAGAACCAAAUUACAAUAUCUUUCUUAUUCUUUCAUCACUUUUGUGAUAAAGAAAAGAAUUGUUUGUUGUUCUUCUCCAGUUCUAACACUGUACAACAAAAUAGGGCUGUUGAAAGAAACAAUAGACAGUAAAAUAACACAAGUUCUUAAAACUUGUACGACUUUUUUAGAGUACAUUCUGUUCAUGCAAUCACAAUUAAUUUUCUAAUGAAAUGAAGCUAUCUGUUAGUUUUUUAGAGGGAAAUCCCAUUUCAUCUUUUCUCUGCCUUCUAAUAUUUUGGAUUGCACAAUUUUUCUCCAGCAAUUCUUUGUAACUUGCAAUCCACCAAAUCUUGCCUUGAACUCUACUCUUGUAUUAAGAAGCCAAAACUUUCACAGAUACACACCUCUCACAUAAACUAUUUGUAGCAAACUGGGUGGGUACACAGAAAAUUUUGCUAAAGGUUUUUUUUUUUUCAAGAAGAGGGGGGGUGGGUGGUUGAGAGUUUAUGCGUAUGGGCAGUAAUAGAGCCUUACACAAACUCAAACUAGCCUAAAUAAGUAUGUCACAGGGAUGGAGCUACCAUAAGGUAUUUUCUUUACCUUCCCCUUCUAUUAACUUCUCAUUCCCUUUCUUUAUAGUAACAUAUUUUUUUUUUAACUAAACUUGUUCUUAUUAUUUCAUGCAUAUAAGUCAUAUUACCUAUUCUUCAGACAAAUCCCCAGCCUCUUCAUUUUCUUUGUAGAUUUACAGGUACUUGUAUAUAUAUAUAUAUUUGAGGGAUUUGCAGGUAGCUAUACAUUAUAAUUUGCAUUAUCUGUAGAAGCAUGUGUAUAAACUAAAAUACCAAACUUAAACUAUUACCAGGUUCUCCAAAGUCAUCGGCCGCAUCUUUCCUCUCCAUAUUGCUGCCAAGUUCCUCAUCCGUACUUACUGAUAUUCUCAUCCUUUUAGCUGACAUAUUCGCAUCCAAACUUUCAAAACCUUCAGCAUUUAGACCACUCAAAGAUCUGAAAUACUGCAAAGAGUAUUUAACCAUAUAACUGGUCAACAUCUCACAAAACAUAAAUGUGACUUAACUUGAAUUAACCUAUAUAGCUUUACAUACACAACACAUGUAAGCAAAUGUACUGCAGCUAGGUAACAAGACACUAAACUGAUUAAUACACUUUACACCCUCUAGAUGCAAGCAGGCUUUCCCACUGAGAUACUUCAUAUAUAUGAAAUUGGAUGAACCGAUCAGAUCAACUAAACCCCAAAAAAAAGUAUGAUGGUGAAAAAUAUCAUUCAUGCUGAUUCUGCACAAGUUUAGUUGCAUAAGUAUAUAAAAGCCAAUGGCAAUUGUCUUCAAUAAUUGGAUUUCAUUUAACUGCAAUUUCUCUACUAACAAUCACAUCAAACAAUUAUGUCAGAAUUGCUCCCAAACUCGAGUAUUCUGCCACUAGACCAUCUGUUGUACAAUCAAUUUCUGAUUUAUCCUUGUGCUAAUUGUCACUCUUUUAAACAAGAUUUCAUAAAUUACUACAGCUAUUAAAAUGGAACCUAAUUAGAAAAAAAGUUCUAAUGCAAGAUGCAUUGUUCUAAAAUCAAAAGUGCUAAAAGUCAAUCAGAUUUUGUACAAAUUAAUGGAAAAAAAACCAUAAAGAAUGAUGAUAGAUCACCAUCAGCUAGACCAGACGCUAUUUUUCCGCCAGUUUUCAUGAGAAAACCAUUUACCAAGAAUAGCCAAGCAUAAAAAAUUCACCAAUGAGUAACUUUAACUCAUUCAUGGAUGGCCUAACAAACCAGGGUGUCUGGGUACGUGUACGGUGGAAGAUGCAGAAUGUACUGGGCUUCAGCUGCAGGGACCAGAAUAUCUUAUGGUAGGAACUUGGGGCAAAGAACCCCAACAUUUCAAUUAAGAGCCCUUCCAUCAAAGUCAAUGUAUAAGCCCAGGGUCCCAAACAACGGCCGAAGUGUUCUCCACUGCCAGUUUGUCAAACACUCUAAAACACGUAAAUACCUAUAAGCUACUAAAGCACCACAAAUUUUAAGUCUACUGAAAUACGUAAAACUUCAACUUCUAAUGAAUACCUCAAGAUCCUAAAAAGGUUACCCAUUGUUCGAAGUAGGUAAACUCAAUAUUCAGCCAAGUUCCCGUGAUUGUGUAGAUCUAAUCUUCCCUUAAACUCUUUAUUGGUUACAUCAGUCGUGAAUAGAAUGUCCUAAGAAAACAUUCAGUUUGAAGCCCUAAGAAAACAUUCAGCACACACAGCUUUUAUAAAAACUCCAUUAAGUCAAAAGAAUAGAAUGCCGCAAACACUAGAUGCACACCUUCCCAUUCUCCUAGUCGGUUCACUCUUUGCCUCCCUUUUGCAACACAUAAAGGUCCAAAAAAUAAAAAUGAUACAAGCUUUGCAAAGGACUUCAAAUAUAACUGAAACUCAUUCAUUUCUUUCACAUGGUAAUAAGCCUCAGCAAUGCUUGGCUUCUGGUGUAAAUAUAUCCAAAAACAAUUCCUAAAUCAUCUGCCACAAGUUUUUAAGCUAACUCUAAAUCAUCCACCUAUUAUUUGGUUCCUUAUAGCCCUAGAAUAGUGCAACAUCUCAUGCUUAUACAAGCUCCUUUAAGUAUGAACAAAAGACAAUCAUCCAAAGCUGCUGCAACGAAGAAUGCCUUUCUAUUGUUAAAAGCAAAAAUGAUGCUUACAUAUCUACUUCUCAAGAGCUCAUGCUACAUGACUGGCAAUCAGUGGAGUAUAUAAUACAUGCACGUGAUAUCUGAUGACUCAAAUCACUUACAAAAUUGAACUCAACGUUUUCUCCUCCAAGAAUUAUGAUCACUUAAGACCAUGUCAUUCUCUAGAGAAAUAUAAUCAUACCCUUAUUAAUUUGCUUUUAUAUUUAUAAAUUUUUUCUUACAGUAGAAAAUAUUGCAUAUCUUAUAUCUAUUGUUUUUGUUUUAUUUUCAAAGAAAACAAUGCAAAGCUUCCAUAUUAGUAAGGUGAAUUUCUUCUUAACCGAAAUGAGUUGUGUACAAGCUUAAGCUAACUAUGUAUCCAUAAGCCUCUCCAAAUUUGAGGAAAAUGGUAACUAAUUCAUAUAUAUACACUGGAAAGAUAUGGGUAAUAAAGAACUUAACCAGUGUUGCAUUUUGGAUGAUGAAUCAUGUCAGUUAGUCAAGAAGGCACAGCAGACUUAAAUGGAGUCAUUUGAUUGAACCAAGUGACAAAUGACAGAGUGAGCAAUGCAAGGGGAAUAAGACAUGUAAACAAGGAAUAAACCAUAUUAAUCUGUGACCUAACGAUGCACUAAUUACAAAUAAAUGGAUGAAGUGGAAGAUCAUAAGCAAAAAAAUUUCAAGCCAGUUACUAGACUCAGAUGUUAAUAACCUAUUGGCAGGAUGAUUGACAUCUUGUCCUUUCGUUUGUCUGCCAACUGAAAUCUUAAUCAAGUUUAGAACCCAAAAAUCAUAACAGAAGGAAACUGUGUCGACUGCAUUAUUUUCUCAGUUUUCUCUCAAAUGAAGGCUAUUAGCAUUACACUUCAGUUCCAAACACUUCUCACAUUUAAAAUAGUAAACAACUUUAAAUUGUUUGUUUUUCCCCCCUCCUUAAUACCUAACACAUUCGAACAACACAAUAUGUCUGUGCCUACCUGCUGCAUAGCUCACCCACUUCGCCAAACUUCAUAAGUUUUAUCUAUUAGUUGCCAUCCCAUUUGCUGUUUACUUAUGCUUGAUAAUUCAAUAUCUCUUUGUUUAGAAACCAAUUCCAUAACACUGCUGCUUUUCAUCUUACACCAAAACAUUUACAGCUGCAAACAGUGGCGGAACUAGGAAUUAACUUUGGGGGGGCGAGUCUAUAGCAAUGAAAGUAAAAUAUAUUUACAAAAAAAACAAUGUGAACAUAUAUACCACAAGAUUAGAAACAACCUUAUAUAGAAUGAAAAUUACUUAUACGCUUCACAUAUACAAAAAUAUCAUCAUAUUUACAAAUCUGUUUGACUGUGUGGGACAUAUGAAAUUGUGCACGACGACUUUUAAUUUUAUCAAAGUCAUCAAUGAUUGAAUUUAUAUCAAAAGUUCUAGCAAUUUCUUUCUCAAUAUACAUUAUCAUAGAGUUGGCAAGAAAGUCUUCCUUCAUCCUAGAACGCAAACAGGUGUUGAUGAUUUUCAUAGCAGAAAAUGCAUGCUCUGUUGUGGCUGUUGAAACAGGAAGAGUCAAAAUAAGACGAAUCAAUCUAUUAAUAAGAGUAUAGCACAUUGACUUUCUUGUCUUUGCUAACACUUGGCACAACUCCUGAAGUGAUGACAAAUUUUGAAACUGAGAAUUACAGGAAAGCUCAAUCUGGAAAAGCUCUAAUUGAGUUCUUAAGUGUAACUUCUCUUGAUCUGUGAAGUCAGCUAAAUAAAACUUGUUUGCAAGUUGACAAAUUUGUUCAAUAUUGAAAGCCUGAAAAUUAUCUUUGGGAUGCAAUGCUGAACUAAGAAUAAGCAACUCUAUUACAUCUUCCUUAAACCUAUUCUUCAUUUCAAGUAUUUGAGAAUCAACCGUUGCCAAAAACACAUCAAUCCUGUAGUGAUGCUCCAUGGUAAUUGGAUCAUUUUGUUUUCGAAUUCUUCCUCGACCUGCUUUAUAAAUGACAUUCAUACCAGGCAUCUCUUUAUUUCGUGCAUCACAAAAUGUCUUUACAUUGGUGAACAACUCAUUCCAUCCAUUAUCUCUGCAACUUUGAAGUCGAUCAUUUGUUACUGAAACCAACUUAAGGGCAUUCAAAAUAUCUUGAGAUUUGCAUUGUAAAGAUUGAGAAAGUACUUGUGCAAAUCCUAAAAUGUCCCUCAUCAUAUGCAUAACAAGAACAAAAUCAAAGGAUGUCAUGAAAUCGUAAACUCUGUCAGCUUCAUUUCUUUGAGUUGAUGUAUUUCCAUAAUUGAUAACAUCAAUUAGGAUAGAGCAAAUGUCUUCAUAUUCUGUGAAUAAGCUACAGAUAGAACUAAAAUGAGACCCCCAUCUUGUAGUCCCUGGCCGUUUUAAGAUACCAAUCUGAUUCAAGUUCAUCAAUAGCAAUCAAUUCAGCAAUUCUAGCAGUUCUAGCAACUCUAAGUUGGUCCACCCAUUUGCAAGAAGAUGAAAUUAAAUUUAUAAGAAGAGAUAAGUAUGUAAAGAAUUGUUCCACAGGAAUUACCUCUUGAGAUGUUGCUACCAAUGUUAAUUGCAGUCGAUGAGCAAAACAGUGAAUAUAAUAUGUAUAGGGGCACUCUUGAAUAAAUAAUACUUGCAGUCCAUUCCAUUCUCCACGCAUGUUACUAGCUCCAUCAUAUUCUUGGCCACGAAUGUUUUGCACACUAAGAUUAUGACGAGAAAGGACAUCACAUAACUCCUUCUUCAAAGUCAAGGAAUUGGUUUCGUGCACAUGAACAAUGUCAAAAAAUCUCUCUCGAAUAUAGCCUUGCUUGUCCACAAAUCUAAAAACAAUAGCCAUUUGCUCUCUUUUUGAUCUAUCUUGAGCCUCAUCAACAAGUAUAGAAAAUUUUGAAUCACUAAUCUCCUCUCGAAUAUACUUUUGUAUCUUGCUCGACCAAAUGGACAAUAUCUCCUUUUGGAUCGCAGGAGAAGUAUAAGAUGCAUUUUGAGGAGCAUUAUCAAGGACUACAGCAGCCGCUUUUUCAUUAUAAGAAGACACAUGCUUGAUCAACUCAAUAAAAUUACCUCGAUUGUUAGAAUCUAAACUUUCAUCAUGACCCCUAAAAGCCACCGCUUGAAAUGCACACCAUUUUGCAGCAUCUAUGAAAACUUGAAGGUGCAACUGAUUUUUUGCAACCUACUCAGAAUUUUGCUUCUCAAUAAUUUUAUCAAGAUGUUGCAAUGAGUUUCCCAAAUCAUGAUAGCAUUGCAUUGCCACUUUGUGUGAUGAGUUAGGAUCUUUUCCAAUGUGAUUUAAAAAAGAACAAUUUUUUCCAUCAUUUACCUUCUUCCAUGAUCUAAAUCCACUAGUUGUGAAGGCCAUUGAUCCAAAACGGUCCGUUGGCUUGGAAAAAAGUGAGCAAGGAAAACAAAAGGCAGCAUUCUUUGUUGGAGAAAAUUCCAACCAAUCUGGAAACAAUUUAUACCAAGAGAAAAGGAAACGUCGGCCCUUCUUGUCAACAACCAUUGAUUCAAUCGGAAGCUCAGGUUGGUAUGGCCCAAACUUAAUAUAUGCUCUCCGUACCUCAUCCCUUUGAUGCUCUAGAUAUUCCCAAAUGGAUUUUCGCUUUCCAGGAUCACGUUCUAUGGAUGAAAAAAGAAUCAAUUGUCCUAUUGGCCAUUACCACUACAUUUGUAACAAAACAACAACCUGUAAUAGAAAUAAAAUUGAUUGAGAAAUGCUGGUUAUGGCCUAGAGAGAUGGGAAUUUGACCAAUGCAAAAGACUGGUUUCCCUAAUUCCCUUACAAAUUUCGGCCAUUCAGCCUGACUGAAAAGUCCGGCCAUCACCCAAGGAAGCCAACAGGAUCCUUAAAAUAAAAUUAGUAUGAAAAUUGGAAAAGAAAACCACUCUCAGAAUCAACUAAAAUAAAUGCUUAUCACCCAAAUUCAGAAGGCCAAGUACGAAAAACAAUAGAAGUCCCUCUCGAGCAAUUCAUCAAACAACGGGCGGGCGAACUUUUUACACCCACAUUUCACUAAAUAAAUGCAAUGUCAAACUAACCUGGUAAAUGGUAAUAGCUACAAUAGUCUGAAAUGGUAUUGAUGAUCAGUGUUAGUUUAUCUGGCAUUGCAACUUACAGGUCAAUUUAAGCAACCAAUGCCUAAUUCAUUAACCUGCUCUGAUGAUACAAUAAUAUGAAACAACCCCUUUACUUCCUGAAAAAAAAAGACACGUUCAGCAAAUGCUAAAAGAAAAAUUACCUAGACCAUGCAAAAUGCAAUGGUACAAUCCUUAGUCAUGUGCGAGGGAAGGUCUUCACAGGAGAAGAUCAAUUCCAGUAAUUAAUGAUGUAUCGUUUGAGCAGAUUUGAUACAUCUCUGCGGAACAAGGUGAGAAGAUUUUGACGUUUCUACUUUCUAGGAAGAAGAACUGUAGCAGAGUCAAUAGCCAGGUUAACUAGCUAUCUUUUCUUUGUACUUGUAUGAAGUCCGUUAAGAAAAGUGGCAAUUCUCUGUUAUUUGGACCAAAUCCAAAUAACUUUCAAACAUUAUUGUUUGGGCCCUUGGGGGGGCAAAGUGAAUUUUUUGAUCAAUUUUUGGGGGGGGCAAAACAUAAUAAUAAAUUUUUUUUUACUUAGAAAUUUUUUUUUAACAAUUGGGGGGGGGGGGCGGUUGCCCCCCUAGCCCCCCUUCUCUCCGCCCCUGGCUGCAAACACAUUAUACAGGCAAUUCAAGUCCAAUAUAGUCUCGUUCACUUACAAAUAUCCCAAGUUACCAAACUUGGCCAGAAAUUAAGAAUCCCACAAAACCAACUUCAGUAAUCCAAUUCAACUGUCCUGAUUCUUAAGUCAGCAUGAAUUUUCUUUAUGUCUAAAAUUUCCUUAUUUUGGCAUUGAAAACUGGAAAGAACUAAGAUAGCAGAAGUUAUUACCCUUUCAAGAAUUGAAGUGGCUUCUUUUGUUGUACUCUUUUCCCUCUCCGCUAACAAAGAAAACAUUUUUUCUUUCCAAUCACCAUAUUGCCCAUACUAACCCAAAUAAUGAAAUUCAAAAUUUUCAAAAACCCAGAUGCAAAUUCCAUAAAUAAAUGCGAAUGAAGUAUGAAAAUAACAAAACAGAAAAUUAAAGAAAAACUUUCUACAUAGGAGGGACGGGAAGAGAGGCCUUACUGAUGGGGCAGGAGAUAGGAAGCCGGAGUGGGAAUGAUUGAGGAGAGAAGAAGGGGCGUUGUAGUCAAAACGAUGAAUUCUGAUCAUUCAUAGUAGAGUUCUGCUCUCAGGACUUCAGCUCCUUCUUGGUUUUCAGUUUCACUCUCACUGCUUCUUCUGCUCCUCUGUGUUGUCCGAAGCUUUUCAGCAAUUUUUAUGAGUCUACAGGCCAGGGUAUGUUUCAUUUCCAGUAUUUAUCUCACCCCCCGGGCCCCCUUCAAAUUUGGGUAUAAACGAGUUUUUAUAAGACAAGUUUUUUGUCAAGUUUGUCUGCUACAAGUUUUUUAAAAACUUUAGUUACAGUAAUUUCAAAAAUUUUUAAACUAUACACUUCAAAAUAUUCAAAACAAACACACUUCAAAAAUUUUUUUAAAAACUUCUACAGUAAGUUACAGUAAAGUUUUAGACAAAUACCCAAAAAACUCACUUGCCAAACGGGGUCUAAAGUUUACUAAAAGCAUACUACUGUUUAAUUCUUAAAUUUUUUAGCCAAGUUCUAACCCUAAAGAAUUCCUUACUCAGCAUUAGCAUAAGCAGGGAUCUUUUCGGUUUAUUCUUCGCAUGAAGCAAUUUUAUUUGUUUGGUUGAAGGUAGAUUUUAAAUCUUUAAAGGGCGGGAGAGGAGUGGUGGGAAUAGGGGGAUAGCAAAUGAGUCAAAUAAAAAACUCUUAAAAUCUCCUGGGAAGAGGGAUGGGUUGGAGGAAACUUCACUCAUCUCUAGUAAAUUCUUUUUCUAUUUUUCGUAGUGCAUAUCUGAAUGCACGACACGCGUUUUUAUUUAUUAACAAGGGUUAGGAUUAGUCAAAUUUAAAAUAAUCAUGUUUCAGUCUAUUAAAUGAAAACAUAUGUUAUACAUCCAGUUAUGUAUUGUGAAAAAUGGAGAGAGAUUCCACUAAAGGGAAGUCAAAUCUAGUACAAAGAAGGGAGUAUAAAUGAGAUAUUUUGAGUUCGAAACUUUCCACUUACAUUUAAAAAAUUCCUUAAAGUCACCCAAUUGAUAGGUUGCAAUUUUUGUUAUUAAAUUUAUGAAUGUUCUCCCCUUGUUUUUAGUCAAAUAUUGCAUUAAUUGGUUGAUUCUACUUAUAUUUAGUAAUUGGUUAUGGUUGUAGGGAUCUAAAGUAAAAAGAAAUUAAAAAUGUAAUUAUUAAUGGAACUUCUAUUCAAAUUAGCAUGGACCCAUCAAAGUCUAACUUUGUAUAUUUGGAAAGUUUGGAAUUUGACACGUGGUCUCUAAUUUUAAAUUGAAGUCGCAAUAAUCAAACUUUUGACCAAUAGAUAGUCUUUCUAUUUUUAUUAGGGGGAAAAUGGCCAAUUUCGUCCCUAUACUUUUUUAUAGUGUCAAUUCAGUUCCUAUAUAAUUUUUUUGGCCAAUUUGAUACCUAUACUUAUUUUGCGGUACCAAUUGAGGAACGCCGCAGUGGCUUCACCAUGUAAAUUCGAUUAACCUAUUAAUUGAGCAACUAAGCAGGGGUAUUUCGGGCACUUCACUGCUUCUUCAUUUUUCACCUUUUCUUCUUCAUCUUGCUUAUCACCAUCCACAGAAGCCAUAGCCGGAGUAGCAGAUCCGUCUCACUCCAACUCGAGGAAAGAUGCCGGUGACGUACGCGAGACCAGGCUUUCAGUAGAGUCCUCAAAUACACAAGAAGGAAUGUCAUUUUCAUUAUGUGGCUGGGAAACCGCCAUUGAGCUAGACUGAUUAUUAUAUUCAUGAUUGACAUUAGAACACUUCUCAGAUGCAUUUUGAUCAACCAUGGCCCUAGCUUCAAAUUCAAGUCAUUUUGCUUCAUAGGCUCUUGAAGCUUCCUUUACAAAUGACGUGCUCAGGGUAUACAUAUAAUAUUAAGCUCAUCUAAUCAAGUUUUACAUUUACAAACUCCUAAAUACCCCACAUGCGAUUUAUCGCAAGUAUACGAAUCGUGAGCGAGUAUAGGGUAUUAAGGGUCGAUCCCACAAGGAAGAUUGCAAUUACCGGCACUACUAUAGCUUCUCUAUUAUUUAGACUAUCAGUGAAUUAUAACAAAUUAAACCUACUGAAAUUAUACAAAAUAACAAAUGAAAGCUCCUUACGUUGUGGUAUCCCUAACUACUCAUGCAAGUGCUAUAUUUAGAUCAUUGAGUACUACUAUCAAGGCUAGUUAUGGUGUAAUUUGCUUAAACAUGUGAAACCUACUUUCGAAGUGAAUCAACUAUACUUAUAACUAAUCCAUACAUAUUCUCAUGGUUAUGAAAUUAGCUACAAGUUCAUUUCUUCAGUGAAAUUACAUGAAAUCAAUCACUAAAACCACAUAGAUGCACCUCUACUUUCGUGAGUGUACUCCCUAUGUUUAGCACUUCUUGAACUAGUGAUAAAUCUCAACUUUCAUUGCAGAAACAACACCUUAGAUAAUCACAAUUAAUGGUACCAGAUUAAUCAUGAUUUAAAGAGCCAAAGUGCUAAAUAACUUGCUCAAAUCAUAGCAAUCAAAUAACCAAAUAAUAAACACUAACAAUCAUAGAAAGUUCAACCAAACUCAAGGCAUAAACUUUAAAGAUACAUAUUAAACACAAAAUCCAGAACUUGUAUAUUAACCAAACUUAAGAAUUUGAUACAAAAGAUAAAGAGUUGGAGAAGAGAUAACCCAUGUCACUUGAGUUUCAACUCCUCCAUCUUCAUCUUCAUCUCCAUAUUCAUCCUAAUCUAGCCAAGACACAAGAAUGGAUGAUCUAUACCACUCUACACUAAGCUAAACUAACACUGACAGGUGCCGAACCUGUGCAAUAAUAAUUACUUAAAAGUCCUAACUACCACCACAAUUAAUUAUAGAGCAAAUCCAAGUACUAGAGCAGGGACCCUAGGUGUGCAAUGGGUUACUUGAUUCACCCUGUUCCCGAAGAGUUUGUUUGAUCCGAUAUACCAGAUUUGUCUAUACAAAUAUUAAUUUUGCGUACAAUGGCAAGUAGGGUCGAUUCCACAGGGAGCGGAUAGGAAAUUAUUUCUUUCCAAACCAAUAGAAUAAAUUGGGGGAUUUUUAAUGGGAGGCAAAUAAAAAAAAAUAAGAAUAAAAAUAAAGCAAACUAAGUUCGAAACUAAUUCACAAAGCACAAGUUAAUAAAAGUAGCAAUUAAUAAAAUUCUACCCAAAGGAUCAACUGCUCAGGUACGGUCCAAUUAAAUGAUCAUCGAUGCAAAGAUAUUUCAUCCAUUCAUCAUUAGGUUGGUUAUAGUUAUCAACAAGCUCUAACAACCAGUUCUUCCUUACCUUUUCGACAGUCAAGGUACGACCAUUGACUGCUUCUCUAACCAGAUAACAACUCUAGGUACGACCGUAGGAAUUUAAUUACCCAAUUGCAUUAAAGUUAGAAGAACCCAACCCUAACUAAUAAACACGCUAAGAGGAUUUAUUUAAGUUAGAUCUUACGUUUUCCCAACAUAAAGCCAAUUAUGGUGGUUGUCACUAGGUAUCAACUAAACGAACAAUUACGGAUUCAAUUUAGUUAAUGUGACAGUAGGCUAUUAAAUUAAAUCAAAUACCCGGCCGUUGAUAUUCAAUUAAUAAAAUACCCAUGAACAAUUAAGCCAGGAAACGCACGAAUAGCAGUAAAUUGGAAGAAAUAAUGAAGAUUCGAUUAGAUCUCACAGAUAUUAUGGACCGCGCCCUCACGUCAACCUUUGGGUAGAGGAGAAAAUUAGCCGCUCCUCAUCGCGUCAAUCCCGCGUGAUUUAAUUGAGUUCAUUCAAUUAACUGCCGAAGAAUUGGGAAGGUAAUUAUUUGAAGGAACAACCGAGGGGGCCCUGAUUUCGCAUUCGUUUUGGAGCCGCAAUCUCAAAGCAGAGAGCCACGAAGAAUUGUCACAGGCGGAAGGAACGAAUUCAAGAGUCAGAGUCGCAUAAAGCCAAAAACUACAGAAAAGAAGAAAGUCUCCAAUGUCUGACCCAAAGCCGCAGAAGAAACAAAAGAAAAACGUCUAACCCCAAAAAUUGCAAAAAGUAAAACUAAAGCUAAAAGAAGUGAUCCCCCCGAAUCUUGCUUUUUCCUUCUUUUUAUAUCCGCCGUCAGUAGUAUUCCUCCCAGGAGGAGGCUUUUGCCAAAGGGGCGCUGAUCCCACGCUUCAGGUUCACGUGGACCGAGGUCCGGCUUUUCGGUAACGUCUACCUUGUCUGGCGUGGCCACGCCCUGAAAUGAAAGGUCUUCUGGAAAUUUACCUCGAGAUAUCAUUUUUAAUGCUAACCACCUACAAUUCACACAAAUAUAAAAAAUGAGCGAAAUUCCAUUUCUUAGCACCAUGAAUAGCCAAAAUUAGGACAAGAUGACAAUGCAAAAUGUGCCAAAUAACUGUUCUAUCAAAUCCCCCCACACCUAGACAAUACUUGCCCUCAAGCAUUUCGGAGCUCAGAAGUGCAACCGAGAGAGCAAAGGUCAUGCAAUAAACUAUACUAACACAAGCACCUCAGAUCCCUGACCGUGUCGCCAAAAUGAGAAUACACCGGACAGGUUGUAAGUCAAAGAAAAUAUAUGAAUACUAGGGACGCUCAAAUCAACAUCACGGAAUGCCAUUACCAUAGGCUUGCACAUUUAUCGCAUCUCCACCACUCAAAAGUAAACUAAAUACAUAAAUCAAAGGACUUCGAUAGGGUUGUAAUGGGGUUCAGGUGAAAGGUGGGAUAAGAAGGUAAAAAUAGGGGAUAAUGAGUCAAGAGAAUGUCCGAAACCCACCAUAUCAAACAAGGCAGUUUUCAUUUGCUGUACACACUGUGCAAGUGUCGCGAAUUUUUUUUUCUCUUUUUUUUUUCUUUUUUAGACGGCUUGCAAGGCGUGGGCACGCCUUGUAGGCUGGAGUCUUCUGUUCACAAGCCUCUUUUUUUUUUCCGAUCUCAGAUAUACAGGAACAUCACCAUACAGCAUCUACUCUGAAACACUUGCGACCAUAGAUUUAUUUGCCUUGUAUAAGUAAUGAAUUUUAGACAUACCUUUACAACACAGGGGUGAACAAGAAAGUCUAAAGAGGUCUUGGGUGCUCACAUAGAUGACAACAACUCGACGGAUACAAGCUCAAAUUGGUUCACUAUUGGAAGAUAGGAUGGGGGCUUGAUUUUGAGACAGCUAAAGAGGGUUGAAUCCUAAAUGCCCUCUUCAUUUUCAAUGCAUCUAGUUCAACAAAAUAUAGCCUUGACAUGCAUAAAAUAGCAAAUUCUAGAAUGCCAAUACCAUGUGUGAUACCCACUCAAUCAAACAAAAAUAAAGCAAAUAAGAAUAGUGUGCUCAUACAUGGCUCAAAAGCUCACAAGAGUUUCCAAGAAUGGGUCAAGUCCCGUAUACUCAAUAUCUAACAACACAGUCAAGGGAAGACAAAAAUGCAUAGCUAGUAUAAUUAACCACACACCCAAGCACUGUGAUUGUAAAAUUCAUCAUAGCAAACAAAAAGUCAACUAACUACCCCCCUUUUCUUUUUUUUUCUUUUUUUUUUUUUGUAGAGAGAAAUAAUAGAAACCAUCCCCCCCACACCUAAAACCUACAUUGCCCCCAAUGUAGCAAGGAUAAAUAAAGUGCAAAGAAAAAUGGAGCAAAACUUCCCUGACUACUGGGGCGGUGCAGCGAGAGCCUAAGGAGGCGGAGGAUGUGGUGGUCGGAAUCCAAUAUGAGCAUAGAAAGCCGCUUGAUUCUCUGUCUGAAUACGGGCGAAUACCUGUAGUGCUCUAAGACGGUCCUCUAGUCCAUCAACUCGCCCCCCUAGCGCAUGGAUAGACUCAUGGAGAGAGUGAUAUUGGGACUCCCAAGCAGGGGGAGCAUGAUAGGAGGACGGACCCGCCUGAUCCGGAUGGGGUGGAGAGUCAGUGGAGGGUGCAGUUGGAGGCACCCGAGGUCGUGGCCCGCCCUCGCCAGGGGGCGUAAAUUGAUAGGCAUCCCCCACCUUGAAAAUAAUCCCCAUCCGCUCCAAACUGCGCAAAUCCAGAGGCUCAAUUUCCCGAGCUAGAGCGAAGUUGUGCGGUUUGUCGAGGUCAAGCAAACCCAAUCGAAUGGCCAAGUGGGUAAUGAGUGAGCCCACAAUGAUCGGUUUAUUGCGCUUCUGGAUGACUGUUUGCAUUUGAGUGGCUACCCAACAUCCAAAAUUAACCGGAACAUUGUUGCGCAUGCACCAAAGGAAAUAAAAUUCUGCCUUGGUAAGAGUGCCGGAAGAAUCUUUCCGCCCCGAGAAAUUGAUAGCCAGGAACCUGUGGAUGACCUUUAAGACCGGAUCCUUCAAAUGAGAGGCCUUGGACUGACUCGGAUUGUAAACUUGACGAUCUGUGGACCACUCCCUCCAAAUGUCAAUGUGGUCAGUCGAAAACGGUCGGGUGUAGUCACACGCACUGUUUAUAUAUGCUCCGGAAGCAAUGGUACCCUCACCAACAAACCCCAAAGUUAGAUUAAACUCAUUAAUGGACAUACCAUACUGGAUCCCUCUUAGUCGAAAUUUAACAAUCUCCGGCUCAUCCAGAGUGAUGAAUUCAUUGACGAUGAACUCGAAAGUGGAGAAGAAUUCACAACACAGCUCCUCAAACGUAGGGUAAUCAAUGGUCAGGUACUUCCCCCAACCUAUUGCCGAGAACAACUGUUCAACUUCUCGCGCAAUUUGCAAAUGGUCCAGGGUUGGAGCAUGGAAACACUUACAGGGGGCAAAAGGACGGUGGACCAAGUUAUUGAACCGGUCCUGUUGCGGCCUUGUAAGGUUAGUGACCGGUUCCCCCCAUUCCCCAGGAGACAUAGUGCUCUUAUUCAGACCCAAACGGGACCGAAUGGGGGGUUGAACCGGUGCUCGCCUCUUACGAGGUUGGGACCCAGAUGGCCCAGCAAUUGUUGCCUGUUUCGGGGGCAUUCGGAUACCACAGGCAAGGUGUAAAUCAGCCCAGAGACAGUUAAUCAAUUACCCAAAAGCAAACAGGGGACCACACUUAACAGUUAAUAUGCAACUACAGUCGUCUAAUAGCAAAGAGGGAACACAAUUACCUCAACAACCAACGACAAGUCAACAAACACAAGAAUUCCCUACUGGCGUCACGUGGUAGACAACAAUAAAGAAAACAGCACCAACACCUCAAAAAUUGCACUAGCAGUCAAUAAUAGUCAAUAUCAAAAACACCAGAGCCCACAAAUGUAUCCCAAAUUGAUAAUCAACAAAAGGCAGAUAUGACGUCUCCCACGUCCAGACAACAGUCAAAUGGUCCCCCAACCAAAAUCAACAGGUAUGUCAACCCGACAGGAGGCAAAAAUUUAGCAAUUAAAAGUCCCAAAUCGAAGUCAUUAAGUCAACAAGAGAGGCAAAUAGGGGUACCACUUUUACUCUUGGUCCACGCUGGAGAGGAAAAUGGCGGAGAAAAGAGAGCUGGUGGCUGGUCGGGUGCACGGGCUGAGCGUGGAACAGGCGCGGUGGUCGUGCGCAGGCAGGGGGUCGCGCGCGAGGGCACGCGCUGAGGACUCGCACACAGGCAGCUGGUCGCGCGCUUGGCUCACGGGCAGCCGUGCAGGAGGUAAUCAGCGCGCUGCUGGGGCUGCUCGCGCGCUGUGGAGGUCGCGCGCUUGGCUGAGCGUGCCUGUUGCUGAGGAGAGCAGGGGUUGUGCUGCGCAGGUAGCUGGAUCUGGGCGUAGGCGUACUGGGCUGCACAGGCGGGUGGUGGUACGACGCGAGAUGGGGGCCGCGCGGCGCUGAAGAGAGCAGAGGCGCGCGACGGCAGCAGCGGCGACGGCUUGACCAAAACAGGGAGAAGGAGUUGUUGCAGCGUAGCAAAAAGAAAUUUGGAGGAUAAAGGCCAAGACCGGUCAAAGAAGAAGGAAAAGUGGAAGAAGUAGGGUCUUGGUCAAUUUUUUUUUUUUUGACUUUCGCUAUCUGAAGGAUUAGAAGGCGUGGGCACGCCUUGGAGGACCUGGUCUUCUGACCAUCGCAUCCUAAUGAUACUCAAACGAAUUUUUUGUCAAGGCGCGGGCACGCCUUGGAACACCUAUUCUUCUGUCUAUCACUACAAAAACAAUCAAAACUGAAAAAUAAAACUGAAAAAUCGCGAAGUAAUGAAGAAUGAUCACAACUAAUACUGUAAUCCUUGGGUUGCCUCCCAAGCAGCGCCUUUUUUUAAUGUUUUUGGCUAGACAUGGCCUUCAAUUGUUUAGACUUCACCACUUUGAUUAUCAAGGAAUAGAACCUCCACUUGCUCACUAUUAAACCCUUCAUAAUAAAGCUUUAGAUGGUGACCAUUGACUACGAACCUUUUCUCUGUCUUAAGACUUUGGAUUUCCACUGCACCAAAAUGAAAAAUAUUAGAAACAACAAAUGGACCAAUCCAACGGGAACGCAGCUUACCAGGAAAAAGCUCAAGUCUCGAGUGAUAGAGUAGGACUUUUUGCCCUACGACAAAUGACUUUCUUGAAACUUGUUGGUCAUGAAAAAUUUUGCUUUUCUCCUUAUAAAUUGCAGCGUUCUCAUAAGCUUCAUGCCUUAGCUCCUCCAACUCUUGCAAUUGGAGCUUUCUCUGCCCUCCGGCCUCCAUAAGGUCCAUGUUACACUGUUUAAGCGCCCAGAACGCUCGGUGUUCAAAUUCCACUGGGAGGUGACACGGCUUACCAAAGACUAACCUGUAUGGGGACAUCCCAAUUGGUGUUUUGUAUGCGGUGCGGUAAGCCCAGAGAGCAUCUUCCAGCUUCAAGCUCUAGUCUUUCCUAUCAGGCCGCACCAUCUUCUCCAAGAUUGACUUAACUUCCCUAUUCGAUACUUCGGCCUGACCGUUCGUCUGCGGAUGAUAUGGAGUGGACACUUUAUGGAGCACGCCAUACUUACGAAACAAUGCAGUGAUUGUCUUAUUGCAAAAAUGGGUGCCCCUGUCACUCACUAUAGCUCUCGGCAUUCCAAAACGAACAAAAAUGUUAGAUUUUAUAAACUCUGCAACCACUCUCGAAUCAUUAGUCCGGGUGGCCUUCGCCUCCACCCAUUUGGAAACAUAAUCGACAGCAAGUAUAAUAUAUAGAAAACCAAAGGAUGAGGGAAAGGGACUCAUGAAAUCUAUGCCCCAGACAUCAAAAAUUUCAACAAAUAAUAUGGGGGUUUGACUCAUUUGGUCUCUACGAGAGAUAUUCCCCACCCUUUGACACUUAUCACAAGAUUUGCAGAACAAAUAUGCAUCCUUAAAAAGAGUAGGCCAAUAGAAACCACUUUCUAACACCUUACGAGCCGUCCGCUUUGGACCAAAAUGCCCUCCACAUGCAAAUGAAUGACUAAAGGUCAAAAUAGGCUGGAACUCACUUGCACUUACACACCUUCUUACCAUUUGGUCCGCGCAUUGCCUCCACAGGUACGGGUCAUCCCAGAUAUAGUGCUUGGCAUCACUCUUCAAUUUUUCUCUCUUAGCUUUUGACCAACCUGCAGGCAAUUGAUUCGUUACCAAAAAAUUGACAAUAUCAGCGUACCAAGGUAUUGACGAAUCCAUGGCUAAUAAUUGCUCCUCAGAAAAUGAUUCUCUCAACGGUAGAUCCUCUUGAUUUGUGAGCAACCGGCUCAAAUGGUCAGCCACCAAAUUCUCGGCCCCGCUCUUGUUCUUGAUCUCUAGAUCGAACUCUUGCAGGAGCAAGAUCCACCUGAUCAGCCUCGGUUUUGCAUCCUUCUUCGCCAGCAGGUACCUCAGGGCUGCAUGAUCAGAGAAAACAAUUACUUUUGCACCCAAUAAAUAUGAUCUAAAUUUCUCUAGUGCAAAAACGACUGCUAAUAGUUCUUUCUCCGUCAUGGAGUAAUUAGUUGGGCUCCACUUAAUGCUCUCGAUGCAUAGUAGAUUGCGUGUGCCGCUUUUCCUAUCCUUUGCCCCAACACGGCUCCCACGGCAUAAUCGCUCGCGUCACACAUGAUCUCAAACGAAAGGCUCCAAUCCGGAGGUUGAAUGACAGGCGGCGAUGUCAACGAUUCCUUUAGUUUAUCAAAAGCCAUCUUGCAUUCAUUGGUGAAAUCAAAUAUCACAUCCUUUUGCAGCAACUUGAACAGGGGUGCUCCAAUCUUUGAGAAAUCCUUGAUGAACCUCCUGUAAAAUUCUGCAUUGCCUAAAAAGGAACGUACUUCCUGUACACAAACGGGGUAAGGCAGAGCAGAAAUAAGAUCUAUUUUAGCUUUGUCUACCCCUAUCCCCUUAGCCGACACAACGUGCCCUAAGACAAUGCCAUGUUCUACCAUAAAGUGACACUUCUCCCAGUUAAGAACCAAAUUCGUCUCUAUGCAUCUUUUUAAAAUUAGAGCUAAAUUAUCAAGACAUUCAUCAAAACUAUUCCCGUAUACACUAAAAUCAUCCAUGAACACCUCAAUAAUUUUUUCUACAUACUCGGAGAAAAUACUUACCAUACACCUUUGAAAGGUUGCUGGAGCAUUGCAGAGACCGAAAGGCAUCCGACAGUAAGCGAAUGUACCGAAUGGGCAUGUGAAUGUAGUUUAUUCCUGGUCUUCUGGUGCUAUCGCGAUCUGAAAGUAACCUGAAAAGCCAUCCAAGAAACAAUAGUAAACACGACCCGCUAAUCGUUCUACCAUCUGAUCAAUAAAAGGGAGGGGGAAAUGGUCCUUUUUAGUCACAGAAUUUAGCCUCCGGUAGUCGAUGCACUGACGUCAGCCAAUAGCUUUCCUAACCGGAACCAUGUCACCCUCCUGGUUCUCCUCUACGGUUACUCCCGCUUUCUUCGGGACCACCGGAACUGGGCUCACCCAGGGACUGUCUGAAAUGGCGAAAAUGAUCCCUACCUCCAGGAGUUUGAGUAUCUCCUUCUUCACAACCUCCAUAAUUAAGGGAUUCAGUUUUCGCUGUGCUUGCUUCACCGGUUUUGCAUCAUUCUCGAGUCUUAUCCGAUGCAUGCACAAGGACGAGCUUAUCCCUUUUAUAUCGGCUAUGCUUCACCCGAUUGCCUCCUUGUGAUCUCUAAGGAGUCGCACCAGUCUUUCCUCCUGACUUAGAGACAGAUGAGCAGAGAUAAUCACAGGAAGUGUCUCUCUGUCUCCCAGGAAUACAUACUUCAAAUGCUUCGGGAGGGGUUUGAGCUCUAACUCCGGUGCCUGCACAACUAAAGGAAGCGACUUUGUCUGAGCCUCUAGCACAAAAAGAGAAGUAAGCUCGUGCCUUGGAGGUACGGUUGGAAGUGAGUGCAGGGCUUCAACUGUGUGGUGUAGCUCAUUCCUCAUGUCCACAUCAAGAGUCACACCCAACUCAAGAUACUUGGUUAGGGCCACUUCUAAUGCAUCUUCACCAUCCAAUUCAAAAGUUUCUUGCACAAACGGCUCAAUAACACUCAAAGCGAAGACUGAGUUAGAUUCCUCUGGAUAUUUCAUUGCCUAAAAAAUGUUAAAAUUCACAGUUUCACUAUCAAAUUCCAUUGAUAAAGUACCCCCAUUCACAUCUAUUUUGGUCCUGACAGUGCUAAGAAACGGUCUACUCAACAAGAUAGGCGAUGGAUUUAAUGAUUUCUCAUCUCCCAUAUCCAAGAUAUAAAAGUCUGCAGGAAAGACUAAUUCAUUUACCUGAACCAAAACAUCCUCAACUAGCCCCUCUGGAUAAGCAUUUGUGCGAUCAGUUAGUUGGAUUAUGAUGGCUGUUUCUUUUAGUGGCCCAAGGUUCAGAGAAGCAAAAAUGGUCUUUGGCAUCACAUUAAUUGACGCCCCUAAAUCUAACAUUGCUUUUCUAAUCGGUGUAUUUCCUAUUUUGCAUGGGAUCGUGAACAUACCUGAAUCUCCACACUUGGGUGGGAGAUUUCUUUGGAGAAUGGCUGAUACGUUUUCUCCCACCGCUACUCUUUCAUCCCCUCUCAAUUUCCUCUUAUGAGUGCAUAAGUCCUUGAGAAAUUUCGCGUAUUUCGGCACUUGCUUAAUUGCUUCUAACAAGGGGAUGUUGAUCUCCACUUUCCAGAAUACGUCCAGGAUCUCUUUUUCCUUCUCUGUCUUUUUCGUCUUUGCCAACCUGCAUGGGAAAGGGGGUAAAUUAGAUUUAACGGGUAUUGAUGGUGUACGAGUUAUCUCAGGAUCUCCACGAAUGUGUCAUUCUUCAUCCAUCUCCUUCUCGAUCUCGUCUUCACUUUUACUCUUCAAGUUCGUGACCUUUGGCCCCUCCACUUCCUUGCCACUCCUUAAUGUCAUGGCACUUACAUUUCUGGGGUUUGCCUCAGAUUGCGAUGGUAAUUUUCCAUAGACGUGGGACUCCAGGCGAUUAAUGGCAGUUGCCAUUUGACUCAUACGAGUCUCCAUGUCUUUCAUGCCUGUUUUGGUGUCAUGCUGGAACUGAGCUAUAUUCGAGGUCAAUAAUCUGGUCUCCUGCUGGAGCUAUCUUGUCUCUUGCUGGAUCUGGGAGGUAGUAGUAGCCAGACUUUUGACAAUAUCCUCCAAAGAACUCCCUGUGUUGGAGGAUGAAGGUUGGGGUUUCGGUUGCCAUGGUUGCUGAAACCCUGGUGGACGAUUGGAGAGUGAAUUUUGCGGUCGGUUUCCAUAACUGAAAUUGGGAUGGUCUCUCCAACCGGGGUUGUAUGUGUUGGAGUACGGGUCAUACUGCUUGAGGGGCGCGGGCACGCCUCCGGCCAUGUUUACCUGUUCCGCCCCGUCCUCUUGCAAAAUGGGGCACGUGUCCGUGCAGUGGUCCAUGCUAGUGCAGAUUCCACACACCUUUGCUUGCGGCGUGUCUCUCAUGGCUAAUUGCCUAACAACAGACGUCAACUCUGACAGUUGCUGCUGUAUGGAUGAAGUCUCUACCUCGUUGACUCUACGGGGAGGGUUGCUCUCACGGAAGCCAAAUUGCUGGAAGUUCUCUGCCAUGGCUUCGAUAAGCUCCCACGCUUCCUUCGGUGUCCUGUUUGCCAGUGCUCCCCCACUCGCAGCGUCAAUGAUACUCCUAUCGGUUGAUUGGAGCCCUUCAUAGAAGUAUUGGAUUAACAGUUGUUCACUAAUUUGAUGAUGCGGGCAUCUAGUGCACAACUUGUUAAACCUUUCCCAGUAUUCAUACAAGGACUCACCGGGAUACUGUUUAAUGCUGCAGAUCUCCUUCCUCAAACUUGCAGCCCGGGAUGCAUGGAAGAAUUUUUUCAAAAAUUUCUUUUUCAACUGUGCCCAUGUGGUAAUACUACCCGCUGGUAGGUAGUAUAGCCAAUCUUUUGCUGCAUCCUUGAGAGAGAAGGGGAAAGUUCUAAGUCUUAUCUGCUCCUCAGUGACCCCAGGAGGUUUCAUACUAGAGCAAACCGCCUCGAAUUCCUUGACAUGUUUGUGGGGUUCUUCACCAGAGAGACCAUGGAAAGAAGGUAAGAGGUGAAUCAACCCCGACUUCAGUUCGAAAGCAGUAUUCUCAGCCAAAGUGGGGAAUGUGAUGCAUAAGGGCUGAUGAGUUAGCUCCGGGGCAGCCAGCUCCCUUAAUGUUUGAGUGUUGGCCAUACUUACUUCAUAUUCUACUGACUCGUUUGCAAUAAACGAGUGCCCUUCUUUUCGUCUCUUGGUCUCUUGGCUCCGCCUACGCGCUAUCUUCUCAACCUCAGGGUCGUAUAUCAAUUCACCUGUGCGAGAAGAACUAGGCAUAAACUAGUAAAAAUACCAAGAAGAAUAAAAAAAAAAUGAAAGCUGAAUUUGAAAAGAAACAAAUAAUCCAAACGCCAGCUCCCCGGCAACGGCGCCAAAAAUUAACAGGUGCUGAACCUGUACAAUAAUAAUUACUAAAAAGUCCUAACUACCACCACAAUUAAUUAUAGAGCAAAUCCAAGUACUGGAGUAGGGACCCUAGGUGUGCAAUGGGUUACUUGAUUCACCCUGUUCCCGAAGAGUUUGCUUGAUCCGAUAUACUAGAUUUGUCUAUACAAAUAUUAAUUUUGCGUACAAUAGCAAGUAGGGUCGAUUCCACAGGGAGCGGGUAGGAAAUUAUUUCUUUCCAAACCAAUAGAAUAAAUUGGGGGAUUUUUAAUGGGAGGCAAAUAAAAAAAAAUAAGAAUAAAAAUAAAGCAAACUAGGUUCGAAACUAAUUCACAAAGCACAAGUUACUAAAAGUAGCAAUUAAUAAAAUUCUACCCAAAGGAUCAACUGUUCAGGCACGGUUCAAUUAAAUGAUCAUCGAUGCAAAGAUAUUUCAUCCAUUCAUCACUAGGUUGGUUAUAGUUAUCAACAAGCUCUGACAACCAGUUCUUCCUUACCUUUUCGACAGUCAAGGUACGACCAUUGACUGCUUCCCUAACCAGAUAACAACCCUAGGUACGACCGUAGGAAUUUAAUUACCCAAUUGCAUUAAAGCUAGAAGAACCCAACCCUAACUAAUAAACACGCUAAGAGGAUUUAUUUAAGUUAGAUCUUACGUUUCCCCAACAUAAAGCCAAUUAUAGUGGUUGUCACUAGGUAUCAACUAAAAAAACAAUUACGGAUUCAAUUUAGUUAAUGUGACAGUAGGCUAUUAAAUUAAAUCAAAUACCCGGCCGUUGAUA